UGAUGCUGAUAUGGAAGAGCAGGUCAAAGAUAGAGAUGUCAAUCUUGCUGGUGAUGGUGGCAAGAAUCCUGACAAUGUUGGGGAGCAAGUUGAGAAGACAGUGAGGGUUGUUGAAGGAAACGCUUCUGGUGAUGCUACUGUUGACCAUGUCACCGAGGAUAAAAAGCCCAUGAAGAAGAAAAUAAUAAAAAAGGNNNNNNNNNNNNNNNNNNNNNNNNNNNNNNNNNNNNNNNNNNNNNNNNNNNNNNNNNNNNNNNNNNNNNNNNNNNNNNNNNNNNNNNNNNNNNNNNNNNNNNNNNNNNNNNNNNNNNNNNNNNNNNNNNNNNNNNNNNNNNNNNNNNNNNNNNNGAAAAUAAUAAAAAAGGUUGUGAAAGUUGUUCGAAAAAAGCCAACUGCUGAAGCUCCAGUGGAUAAAUCGCCUCAGGUUGACAAGAAUGCCGUGGCAGAAACUGCGAGCAAAACCGUCGAAAAGCACAUUGAACAAAAAAGUGAAGAUCUUGGGGAAGAGAAGGCGGGAGCUGGCAUUGGUCAACAGCCUGAGGCUAAGAAAACUGGGAAGAAGAAGGUAAUUCGAAGGAUUGUUAAAAGAAAAGUUCCUGCUUCAGCGACUGAGCCAACAGCCCUUGCUGCACCUGCUGAAGCAAGUAAACAAGAUGUGGCUGUUCAGCCGGAGAAGUUUGAUGAAGUCCCCACCGAUGCUGGGAAUUCACAGACUAAACUGGAAGAAGGAUUGAAAACUCCUGCNNNNNNNNNNNNNNNNNNNNNNNNNNNNNNNNNNNNNNNNNNNNNNNNNNNNNNNNNNNNNNNNNNNNNNNNNNNNNNNNNNNNNNNNNNNNNNNNNNNNUCGGUAAUCCGCAGCCAGACACCAGUAGUCUGUAAGGCUUAUAUCUCGGAAAUCCGGCUCCCUCCGGACGUCCGAGGGCCGAACGCCUGAGGGCCGAACGUCCGACUGGCUUCGGUAAUCCGCAGCCAUACACCAGUAGUCUGUAAGGCUUAUAUCUCGGAAAUCCGGCUCCCUCCGGACGUCCGAGGGCCGGACGUCCGGCCAAGCUCCGAAAAUCCGGAAGUCAACACCAGUAGAAUGUGUGCACUAUAUCUCGGAAAUCCGGCUCCCUCCGGAUGCCCGAGCGCCGGAUGUCCGACACACAUCGGAAAUCCGGAAGCCACCACGAGUAGAACUUGUGCUGUAUAACACGAACUUCCGGGCCACUCCGGACGUCCGUAUGCUGAUGAAUUCAAAUAUGUUCAGGAACACCUACAGGCCUCGGACGACCGACCACUGUCAGACGUCCGGCCGCUGAUGAAUUCAGAAGAGUUCCAGUCAUGCCUACAGGUCUCGGACGACCGACCCCUGUCGGACGUCCGGACCCUCACGGACGCCCGGACUUCCGACAAGUGUCGGACGUCCGGACCCUGUGUGACUUAUUGCACCUCCAACGGCUGGAUUUCACUCCACACUAUAAAUACUCUUCUCCCACCUCGUGAAAGGGUGUUCAACACAGCUAAGACACAUCCAAGAACACCUUUCCUCUCACUCACUCUUGUCUACACCAAAUCCUAGAUCCCAAGAGCAUUUGUGAGUCCUUUUGAGUGUUGUUCCAAUCAAAAGAUAGAUCGUCUCCCUCUCCUCCUUCCCACCAAAGUGAUUCGUGAUUUGAGCAAGUUUUGAGCAAUCCCCGUGAUCUUGUUACUCUUGGAGGUUGGAGACUCCUAGGCGGUAGGAGUCUUCGGAGAGGAAUCAAACCAUUGUGAUUUCCCCCGGAAAGUUUGUGAAGGUUUGGAAGCCACCUCAAGGCUUACCACUAGUGGUUGAGAAACGCCUUCGUGGAGUUAUCUCAAAGGGAGAAUAGGGUGAGCCUUCGUGGCGUUGGUGUGCCUUCGUGGUAACAUCCGCCCCUCUAACGGUGACGUAGCUUCCCUCCAAGGAAGUGAACAUCGGGAUACAUCCUUGUCUCUCUCGGAGUUUCGGUUAUUCCUAACCCUAACUCUCUACUUGUGUUAAUCCUUAUUACAUACUUGUAUUUUCUUAUUGUUUACGGCUUGCCUUGUUUCACUCCUAAUAGUUUACUCUUUGUCAUAGCAAUUAUUAGGCUUACACUUAUAUUCCGCACUUUAGCCUAAAAUUGCCAAGUAAUUAUUAAAAUUUGGAUUUGUACCUAUUCACNNNNNNNNNNNNNNNNNNNNNNNNNNNNNNNNNNNNNNNNNNNNNNNNNNNNNNNNNNNNNNNNNNNNNNNNNNNNNNNNNNNNNNNNNNNNNNNNNNNNUCCAGUUGAAGAGAAAGUCAUUGCCUAUAAUGAUCCUAUUGUUCCCAGUGCUUACAUUGAGAAACCACCUUUCCCUGUUAGGAUAAAGGAUCAUUCUAAAGCUUCAACUGUUAUACGUAGAGGCUAUAUUAGAACACCUACACCCCCUGAGCAAAUUAGAGCUGAACCUAGCAUUGCUAUCAUCAAAGAUCUUCUGUCCGAUGAUGUUGAGGGACAUAAUAUUCACUUCGGUGAAGAUGCUGCUAGAAUUGCUAAACCUCACGCUAGAGACAAACAUGGGCAUGUUGUUGGCAUGCAUGUUGUUUCUGUUAAGAUAGGAGAUCAUUGUUAUCAUGGUUUAUGUGAUGUGGGUGCUAGUGUUAGUGCAAUACCUCAAUCCUUAUAUGAUGAAAUCAAAGACGAGAUUGCACCUAUUGAGAUAGAGCCUAUUGAUGUCACUAUUAAGCUUGCCAAUAGAGAUACUAUCUGCCCUGUGGGAAUUGUUAGGGAUGUNNNNNNNNNNNNNNNNNNNNNNNNNNNNNNNNNNNNNNNNNNNNNNNNNNNNNNNNNNNNNNNNNNNNNNNNNNNNNNNNNNNNNNNNNNNNNNNNNNNNNNNNNNNNNNNNNNNNNNNNNNNNNNNNNNNNNNNNNNNNNNNNNNNNNNNNNNNNNNNNNNNNNNNNNNNNNNNNNNNNNNNNNNNUUCCUCGUUCUUGCUACCGCACAAGACAGCCUUUGUCCCAUCAUAUUUGGCAGACCCUUCCUCAAUACUGUCAAUGCUCAUAUUGAUUGUGAGAAGCAAAAUGUCACUGUUGGCUUCGAAGGUGUGUCACAUGAGUUCAAUUUCUGUAAGUUUGGUAGACAACCUCAUGAAAAGGAGUUGCCUAGUAGGGAUGAAACUAUUGCCUUAGCCUCUAUUGUUGUGCCUCCUACUGAUCCCUUAGAGCAAUACUUGCUUGAGCAUGAAAAUGAUAUGCAUAUGGAUGAAAGGGAUGAGAUAGAUAGAGUUGUCUUAGAACAAUAUCCUAUCCUUCAGAAUAACUUGCAUGUUGAACUGCUUGGGGAUCCACCCCCACCAAAGGGUGAUCCUAUGUUCGAGCUUAAACAGUUGCCUGAUACUCUUAAGUAUGCUUAUCUUGAUGAAAAAGAGAUAUAUCCUGUUAUUAUUAGUGCUAGCCUCUUAGAGCAUGAAGAAACUAAGUUACUAAAAACUCUCAGGAAGCACCGUGCUGCUAUUGGAUAUACUCUUGAUGAUCUUAAGGGCAUUAGUCCUACUCUAUGCCAUCACAAGAUUAAAACUGAUCCUGACUUCAAACCAGUUGCUGAUCAUCAAAGGAGAUUGAAUCCUAAGAUGAAAGAAGUAGUGAGAAAAGAAAUACUAAAGCUCCUGGAAGCAUGUAUCAUUUAUCCUGUUGCUCAUAGUGAUUGGGUGAGUCCGGUGCAUUGCGACCCUAAGAACGGAGGCAUUACCGUUGUCCCUAAUGAUAAGGAUGAAUUGAUCCCUGCUACUGCAACAAAAGACCUUCCAACGGCGCCAGAAGCGUGCUGACGGGAGACUGUUCAUGUCUUGAUACUCCUCAGCAACGGCACCAGGAAUCCUUCUGCUACGGCUACGCCUUAAGGGACUUCCUAGGCAAAUAUGCAAAGGAUUUCCCCCGUGGCCUUGGAGCCUUGUUGGUGUUCCCUCGAAGUGGAAAGGGUGAUGUAGCGCAGCGGUGGUAAGUAUUUCCCUCAGUUUGAGAACCAAGGUAUCGAUCCAGUGAAGGAGUAUCUCAAGUGCCUGCACAAACACAAAAAGCUUGCUCCCAACGCUAUGAAGGGGUUGUCAAUCCCUUAUAGAUUGUUCGCCAAGUAAGAACUGAAAGCAACAAAGUAACAAAGCAAAGUAAAAGCANUAUCCAGCAUGCAUCUAGUGUAUUAAGUCCAAAAGAACAGAGUAACGCCUUAAGCAAGAUGACAUGAUGUAGAUGGACAAUCUCAUAUCUACGACAAAGCCCACCUUGUUACCCUUGAUGGCAACUACACGAUGUGUGCCUUGCUGCCCCUACUAUCACUGGGAAAGGUCACCACACGGUAAGAACCCAAAACCAAGCACUUCUCCCAUUGCAAAAAUCAUAGAUCUAGUUGGCCAAACAAAACCCAAGACUCGGAGAGACUUACAAGGAUAUCAAAUCAUGCAUAUAAGAAAUCAGCAAAGACUCAAAUAUAUAUCAUAGAUAAUCUAAUCACAAAUCCACAAUUCAUCGGAUAUCAACGAACACACCGCCAAAGAGGAUUACAUCGGAUAGAUCUCCAUGAAGAUCAUGGAGAACUUUGUAUUGAAGAUCCAAGAGAGAGAAGAAGCCAUCUAGCUAGUAACUACGGACCCGUAGGUCUGAAGUGAACUACUCACAAGUCAUUGGAGGGGCGAUGAUGUUGAUGUAGAAGCCCUCCAACUCCAAAGUCCCCUCCGGCAGGGCACCGGGAAGGGUCUCCAGAUGAGAUCUCGCGGAAACGGAAGCUUGCGACGGCGGAAAAGUGUUUUCGAGGAUUCCCUGAUUUUUUUCUGUAUUUUAGGGAAUAUAUAGGCGAAGGAGCUAGGUCAGGGGGGCGCCAGGGAGGCCACAAUCCUGCUGGCCGCCGCCCCCAUGGCGGCGGCUAGGGGGCUUGUGGGCCCCUUGUAGCCCUCCUGGCUUGGCCCUCAAGCCCCCUGAUCUUCUUCCAGUCGGGAAAAUUUUAUUUUUGGGAUUUUAUUCCGUUUGGACUCCGUUCCAAAAUCAGAUCUGAAAAGAGCCAAAAACACAGAAAAAAUAGGAACUGGCACUUGGCACUGAAUUAAUAAGUUAGUCCCAAAGAAGAUAUAAAAGGUACAUAAAACAUCCAAAGAUGACAAGAUAACAACAUCAAACCAUCAAAAAUUAUAGAUACGUUUGAGACGUAUCAAGCAUCCCCAAGCUUAACUCCUGCUCGUCCUCGAGUAGGGAAGUGAUAAAGAAUGAAUUUUUGAUGCUUUCAUGCUACCUAGCAUAGAUGUCCUUUGUAACUCCUCUUAUGUGACGUGAAUGUUCAGAUCCAUUAGAUUCAAAACAAUAGUUUGCUAUUGACAUAGAAACAAUAAUAAUUCAAGCAAACUAGCAAGGUAAUCAUGAACUUUCAAAAUAACAAUGCCAAAAGAAAGUUAUCCCUACAAAAGCAUAUAGUCUGGCUAUUCUCUAUCAUCAUUGCACAACAAAUUUAAAUCAUGCACAACCCCGGUAUUGGGCAAGUAAUUGUUUCACACAUUUACUUUCUCAAACCUUUUCAACUCUCACGCAAUACAUGAGCGUGAGCCAUGGUUUUAGCACUAUAAGUGGUGUGGAGUGUGGUGGAGGUUGCAAGACAAAAUAAGGAGAAGAUGAUCACAUUAACUAGGCAUAUCAAUGAGCUGUGGAGAUGCUCAUCAAUAGAUAUCAAUGUGAAUGAGUAGGGAUUGCCAUACAAAUGAUGCACUAGAGCUAAGAGUAUGUGAAAGCUCUUAAAGAAAACUAGUGGGUGUGCAUCCAACUUGCUUGCUCACGAAGACCUAAGGCAAUUUUGAGGAAGCCUAUCAUUGGAAUAUACAAGCCAAGUUAUAUAAUGAAAAUUUCCCACUAGCUAUAUGGUGGUGACAAAACGAGAUACUCUCAAUCAUGUAGAUCAUGGUGCUUAAUAUGCACAAGUGUGGAAAGGUGGUAACAUUGUCCCUUCUCUCUUUUUCUCUCAUCAUUUUUUUUGGUGGGCUCAUUGGCCUCUUUUUUUUGGUGGGCAUCUUGGCCUCUUUUAUUUCCUCACAUGGGACAAUGCUCCAUCGAUGAUGAUCAUCACACUUUCAACUCAAAACUUAGAGCAACGAUGAUUCUAUAUGGAAUGCCUUCGGUAGUGUACCGUGACAAUGAUCUAGCAAGGCAUAGACAUUAAUGGAAAUAUCAUGCUAGCUAUCUUACGAUCAUGCAAUGGCAAUGUAGAAGUGGUGGCACAUGUCAUGGUGGUAGUUGCAUGGCAAUAUAUCUCGGAAUGACUUUGAAAAAGCCAUAGUAGGUAGGUAUGGUGGCUGUUUUGAGGGAGGCUAAUGGUGGGUUUUGUGCACCGGCGAAAGUUGCACGACACUAAGAAGAUAGUGAUGGUGGAAGGUGAAAGUGCAUUUAAACCAUGGACUCAACAUUAGUCAUGAAGAACUCAUAUACUUGUUGCAAAAGUUUUGUUAGUAAUCAAAACAAAGCAUUCAACGCAUACUCCUAGGGGAAGGGUUGGUAGGUAUAAACCAUCGCGCGAUCCCGACCGCCACACAAAGGAUGACAAUCAAAAGACCAAUCAUGCUCAGACUUCAUCACAUAGUGGUUCACCAUACGUGCAUGCUACGGGAAUCACUAACUUCAACACAAGUAUUUCUAGAUCCACAACACCUUAUUAGCAUAACUUCAAUAUUACCACAACCACAACUCAAAACUAGUUGAGAUGGAUCAAACUUCUAUAACUAUUCAAUGCACAUGAAGGUGGAAGUUUUCGUAUCCCUUUGGAUAACUACCCCUUUUGAGACUACUUUCAAAGCAUAGAUCAACUACCAAGCCACGCACCGCUGUGCUCUAAAAGAUAUAAGUGACGCACAUAGAGCAAAAGUAUCUAGCCCAAAAGAUAUAAGUGAAGCACAUGUGAGCUGAAUUGUCUACCAGAGGAUAUAAGUGAAGCUCGACAAAAUCACGGUGAGUGCAUGUCUCUCUCUCUAGGUGUGCGGCAAGGAUGAUUGUGACACAACAAAAAUAAAAGACUCUUACGAUACAAGACGCUCCAAGCAAAAACACAUAAUAUGUGGUGAAUAAAAAUAUAGCCCCAAGUAACGUUACCGAUGGAUUGAAAACGAGAGAGGGGAUGCCUUCCCGGGGCAUCCCCAAGCUUAGGCUUUUACGGCAUCCUUGAAUCUCUUGGGGUGCCUUGGGCAUCCCCAAGCUUGAGCUCUUGCCACUCUUUAUCUCUUUGUCCAUAAGAACUUCACCCAAAACUUGAAAACUUCACAACACGAAACUUAAAUAGAAACUCGUGAUAACAUUAGUAUAAGAAAGCAAACCACCACUUCCUUAGGUACUGUAGCAAACUUAAAUUCUACUUAUGCUGAUGUUGGGUUACUGUAUUUUCAAUCUUCCAUGGCUAAUACCCCCCGAUACUAUCCAUAGUUUCAUCAAAAUAAGCAACCAACACAACAAAAAACAGAAUAUGUUAACAGCAGACCAGUCUGUAGCAAUCUGUAUAUCUCGUAUACUUCUGGUACUUCAAAAAUUCUGAAACAUUACGACAGUCUGAAGAAUUUGUGUAGAAAUCAGAAGCAAGAAGAAUCAACUCAAAAGCUCUUACAUAAAAAAUGAAAAUUAUUUUCGUGAGCAGAAAGUUUCUGUCUUUUCCACCAUGACCAAACGAUCAUCCCCAAGACUAAUCAUAACGAUUUUGCUUGGCACAAACGCAAAAAGAAACACAAAAAACACAAUCAUAACUGAAUUAUGAAAGUGUGGAAAACACAAAACAGAAAGAAAAAGGAUAGAUUCGUUGGGUUGCCUCCCAACAAGCGCUAUUGUUUAACGCCCUUAGCUAGGCAAAAGGUGAUGGAAUCACGUAUAGUCAUCUUUGGUGCUCAAACCAUAAGUAGCCCUCAUCAUAGAUUCAUAAGGUAAUCUUAUUUUCUUUCUAGGAAAGUGCUAUGUGCCCUUAUUUAAAGGAAAUUGAAAUCUAAUAUUCCCUUCCUUCAUAUCGAUGAUAGCACCAAUAGUCCUUAGGAAAGGUCUACCAAGAAUAAUGGGACAUGAAGGAUUGCAAUCUAUGUCAAGUAUAAUGAAAUCCACGGGUACAUAGUUCUUAUUUGCAACAAUAAGAACAUCAUCGAUCCUUCCCAUGGGUUUCUUGACAGUAGAAUCCGCAAGAUGCAAAUUAAGAGAACACUCUCCAAUCUCAUGAAAACUAAGAAUAUCACAUAAAGACUUUGGAAUCGCGGAAACACUAGCACCCAAAUCAUACAAAGCAUUGCACUCCUAGUUUUUGAUCUUGAUUUUGAUAGUAGGUUCCCACUCAUCAUGAAGUUUUCUAGGUAUAGAGACUUCUAAUUCAAGCUUCUCUUCAAGAGAUUUCAUCAUAGCAUCUACGAUAUGCGCGGUAAAGGCUUUGCUUUGGCUAUAAGCAUGUGGAGAGUUUGCAAUGGAUUGCAUCAAAGAAAUGCAUUCAAACAAGGAGCAAUUAUCAUAAUUGAAUUCCUUGAAAUCCAAAGUGGGAGUUUCAUUACUACCCAAAAUUUUGAUUUCUUCUAAUACACUCUCCACACCUUUAUCAUCAAGAUGGGUGGACUCCGAAUCAUUGGGGCGUUUUUCAACCAAAGUGGAUUCAUAUCCAGCCCCUUCAUCAAUAGGUUUGACAAGCGAAAACUAAGAUUCAAGAGGAGACACACCAAGCACUUUAAGAUCUUCGUGAUUUGCAUCACUAGAAUGCACCCCUUUAAACCAUUCAUGCCUGGCGCGAAUUUGGGCGGUUCUUUCUUUGCUCUCAUUCAUGGAGACACGCAUAGAUUUCAAAGUUUCAUCCAAGUUGACCUUGGGAGGAGCGCAUCUAACUUUCAAAGCAUCAAUAUCACAAGACAUCCUAUCAACGCUCUUAGCCAAAUCGUCUAUCUUGAGUAGUUUUUCCUCUAUGAACGCAUUGAAAAUCUUUUGAGAGUUGAUGAACUCUUUGAUAUUACUCUCUAAAUCAGAGGGUAAUUUGUUGUGAUUUCCAUAAGUGUUGUUGUAGGAAUUUCCAUAGUUGUUAGAGGAGUUACUAGGAAAAUGCCUAGGAACAUAGUUUCCUCUAAAAGCAUUGUUGUUGCCAAAAUUGUUCCUACCAACAAAAUUCACGUCCAAACUAGCGUUGCUACUCUCAAUCAAAGAAGAUAGUGGCAUGUCAUUAGGAUCUAAAGGAGCGUUUCUACUAGCAACCAAAUUCAUCAACUCGUCCAUCUUAGCACUAAGCGAAUUAAUUUCUUCUAUAGCGUGUACCUUUUUGCUAGGAGGCGACCUUUCAGUGUGCCACUUAGAGUAGUUGGUCAUAAUAUUGUCUAGGAGUUUUGUAGCGUCUCCUAACGUGAUUUCCAUGAACGUUCCACCUGAGGCGGAGUCCAAUAUAUUGCGAGAAGCGAAAUUCAAGCCAGUGUAAAAGAUUUGUAUAAUCAUCCACAAACUCAAGCCAUGAGCGGGACAAUUUCUAAUCAUAAGCUUCAUCCUCUCCCAAGAUUGUGCAACGUGUUCAUGAUGAAGUUGCUUGAAAUUCAUGAUAUCGUUACGUAAGGAGAUGAUCUUAGCCGGCAGAAAAUCUUGGAUAUGUAAGCAUCUUUGCACUUAUCCCAAGAAUCGAUACUAUUUUUAGGCAAAGAAGAAAACCAAGUUUUUGCGCGAUCUCGCAACGAGAAAGGAGAAAGCUUCAACUUAAUCACGUCAUUAUCCACAUCUCUUUUGUUUUGCAUAUCACAAAGCUCAAUGAAGGUAUUGAGAUGGGAUGCAACAUCUUCACUAGGAAGGCCAGAGAAUUGCUCUUUCAUAACAAGAUUCAGCAAAGCUGCGUUGAUUUCGUACGAUUCCGCACUAGUGGCGGGAGCAAUCGGAGUACUAAUAAAAUCAUUAUUAUUGGUACUCGAGAAGUCGCAAAGUUUGGUGUUUUCAGCCAUGAUGACUUCAACAAACAAACAAGCACACAAGCAAGCAAGAAAACCAGCAAAGGAAAACGGCAAAAAGGCAAAUGGAAAAAGAAAAAGGCAAAGGAGAAAGGCAAAUGAAAACGGCAAAUGUGAAGUGGGGGAGAAGAAAACGAGAGGCAACUGGCAAAAAAGUAAAUGCAAGAGAUGAGUUUGUGAGACCUACUUGGAUAAAUCUCUCCUUCCCCGGCAACGGCGCCAGAAAUACUUCUGCUACUGCAACAAAAGACCUUCCAACGGCGCCAGGAACGUGCUGACGGGUGACUGUUCUUGUCUUGAUACUCCUCAGCAACGGCACCAGGAAUCCUUCUGCUACGGCUACGCCUUAAGGGACUUCCUAGGCAAAUAUGCAAAGGAUUUCCCCCGUGGCCUUGGAGCCUUGCGUUGGUGUUCCCUCGAAGCGGAAAGGGUGAUGUAGCGCAGUGGUGGUAAGUAUUUCCCUCUGUUUGAGAACCAAGGUAUCGAUCCAGUGAAGGAGUAUCUCAAGUGCAUGCACAAACACAAAAAGCUUGCUCCCAACGCUAUGAAGGGGUUGUCAAUCCCUUAUAGAUUGUUCACCAAGUGAGAACUGAAAGCAACAAAGUAAAAAAGCAAAGUAAAAGCAAAAGUGGAAACGAUAGGUGUGAAUAGACCCGGGGGCCGUAGUGUUUACUAGUGGCUUCUCUCAUGAAAGCAAGUAGACGGUGGGUGAACAAAUUACUGUCGAGCAAUUGAUAGAAGCGCGCAAAGUCGUGACGUCAUCUAUGGAAAUGAUUAUAUCUAUAGGCAUCACGUCCAAAACAAGUAGAUCGAUACUUUCUGCAUCUACUACUAUUACUCCACACGUCGACCGCUAUCCAGCAUGCAUCUANNNNNNNNNGAGCAAUUGAUAGAACCGCGCAAAGUCGUGACGUCAUAUAUGGCAAUGAUUAUAUCUAUAGGCAUCACGUCCAAAACAAGUAGACCGAUACUUUAUGCAUCUACUACUAUUACUCCACACGUCGACCGCUAUCCAGCAUGCAUCUAGUGUAUUAUGUCCAAAAGAACAGAGUAACGCCUUAAGCAAGAUGACAUGAUGUAGAUGGACAAUCUCAUAUCUACGACAAAGCCCACCUUGUUACCCUUGAUGGCAACUACACGAUGUGUGCCUUGCUGCCCCUACUGUCACUCAGAAAGGUCACCACAUGGUAAGAACCCAAAACCAAGCACUUCUCCCAUUGCAAGAAUCAUAGAUCAAGUUGGCCAAACAAAACCCAAGACUCAGAGAGACUUACAAGGAUAUCAAAUCAUGCAUAUAAGAAAUCAACAAAGACUCGAAUAUAUAUCAUAGAUAAUCUGAUCACAAAUCCACAAUUCAUCGGAUCUCGACAAACACACCGCCAAAGAGGAUUACAUCGGAUAGAUCUCCAUGAAGAUCAUGGAGAAGUUUGUAUUGAAGAUCCAAGAUGGAGAAGAAGCCAUCUAGCUACUAACUACGAACCAGUAGGUCUGAAGUGAACUACUCACGAGUCAUUGGAGGGGCGAUGAUGUUGAUGUAGAAGCCCUCCAACUCCAAAGUCCCCUCCGGCAGGGCACCGGGAAGGGUCUCCACAUGAGAUCUCGCGGAAACGGAAGUUUGCUGCGGCAGAAAAGUGUUUUCGAGGAUUCCCUGGUUUUUUCUGUAUUUUAGGGAAUAUAUAGGCGAAGGAGCUAGGUUAGGGGGGCGCCAGGGAGGCCACAAGCCUGCUGCCCCCCCUGGUGGUGGCUAGGGGGCUUGUGGGCCCCGUGUAACCCUCCUGCCUUGGCCCUCAAGCCCCGUGAUCUUCUUCCAGUCGGGGAAAUUUUAUUUUGGGGAUUUUAUUCCGUUUGUACUCCGUUCCAAAAUCAGAUCUCAAAAGAGCGAAAAACACAGAAAAAACAGGAACUGGCACUUGGCACUGAAUUAAUAAGUUAGUCCCAAAAAAGAUAUAAAAGGUACAUAAAACAUCCAAAGAUGACAAGAUAACAUCAUGAAACCAUCAAAAAUUAUAGAUACAUUUGAGACGUAUCAAGCAUCCCCAAGCUUAACUCCUGCUCGUCCUCGAGUAGGGAAGUGAUAAAGAAUGAUUUUUUUAUGCUUUCAUGCUACCUAGCAUAGAUGUCCUUUGUAACUCCUCUUAUGUGACGUGAAUGUUCAGAUCCAUUAGAUUCAAAACAAUAGUUUGCUAUUGACGUGGAAACAAUAAUAAUUCAAGCAAACUAGCAAGGUAAUCAUGAACUUUGAAAAUAACAAGGCCAAAAGAAAGCUAUCCCUACAAAAGCAUGUAGUCUGGCUAUGCUCUAUCAUCAUUGUAGAACGAAUUUAAAUCAUGCACAACCCCGGUAUUGGCCAAGUAAUUGUUUCACGCCUUUACUUUCUCAAACCUUUUCAACUCUCACGCAAUACAUGAGCGUGAGCCAUGGUUUUAGCACUAUAAGUGGUGUGGAGUGUGGUGGAGGUUGCAAGACAAAAUAAGGAGAAGAUGAUCACAUUAACUAGGCAUAUCAAUGAGCUGUGGAGAUGCUCAUCAAUAGAUAUCAAUGUGAAUGAGUAGGGAUUGCCAUACAAAUGAUGCACUAGAGCUAAGAGUAUGUGAAAGCUCUUAAAGAAAACUAGUGGGUGUGCAUCCAACUUGCUUGCUCACGAAGACCUAAGGCAAUUUUGAGGAAGCCUAUCAUUGGAAUAUACUCCCUCCGUUCCUAAAUAUAAGUCUUUUUAGAGGUUCAACUAAUGAACUACAUACGGAUGUAUAUAGACAUACUUUGAAGUAUAGAUUCAUUUAUUUUGCUCUGUAUGUAUACACCUAGUGAAAUGUCUUAAAAGACUUAUAUUUAGGUACGGAGGGAGUACAAGCCAAGUUAUAUAUUGAAAAUUUCCCACUAGCUAUAUGGUGGUGACAAAACGAGAGACUCUCAAUCAUGAAGAUCAUGGUGCUUAAUAUGCACAAGUGUGGAAAGGUGGUAGCAUUGUCCCUUCUCUCUUUUUCUCUCAUCAUUUUUUUGGUGGGCUCUUUGGCCUCUUUGACUUUUGUGAAAAGAUUGUUGAGGUUUUCAUGGAUAACUUCUCCGUUUACGGGGUAUUCCUUUGAUUAUUGCCUCAGCAACCUUGAUCGAGUCUUGCAGAGAUGUAAAGACUCCAAUCUUGUCUUGAAUUGGGAGAAGUGCCACUUUAUGGUUAAUGAAGGCAUCGUCUUAGGACAUAAAAUUUCUGAAAGAGGUAUUGAAGUCGAUAAGGCUAAGGUUGAUGCAAUCGAGAAAAUGCCAUACCCCACAGAUAUCAAAGGGAUAAGAAGUUUCCUUGGUCAUGUUGGUUUCUAUAGAAGGUUCAUUAAAGACUUCUCUAAGAUUUCUAGGCAUCUUACCAAUCUCUUGCAAAAGGAUAUUCCUUUUGUUUUUGACGAUGAUUGUGAGGAAGCCUUCGAAAUACUUAAGAGGGCUUUGAUAACUGCACCUAUUGUUCAACCACCUGAUUGGAACUUACCUUUUGAAAUCAUGUGUGAUGCUAGCGAUUAUGCUGUUGGUGUUGUCCUAGGGCAAAGAGUUGAUAAGAAGUUGAAUGCUAUUCACUAUGCUAGUAAAACUCUAGAAAGUGCCCAAAGAAACUAUGCCACUAUGGAAAAGGAGUUUUUAGCAGUCGUGUUUGCCUGUGAAAAGUUCAGGUCUUACAUAGUUGAUUCCAAAGUCACUAUUCACACUAAUCACGCUGCUAUUAAGUACCUCAUGGAGAAGAAGGACGCUAAACCUAGACUUAUCAGAUGGGUUCUCUUGCUACAAGAAUUUUAUUUGCACGUUGUCGACAGAAAGGGUGCUGAUAACCCCGUAGGAGAUAACUUGUCUAGGUUGGAGAACGUUCUUGAUGACCCACAACCUAUUGAUGAUAGCUUUCCCGAUGAGCAAUCGAAUGUCAUCAAUGCUUCAUGUAGUGCACCGGGGUAUGCUGAUUAUGCAAACUAUAUCAUUGCCAAAUAUAUACCACCUAGUUUCACAUACCAGCAAAAGAAGAAAUUCUUCUUUGACUUGAGACAUUACUUUUGGGAUGAUCCUCACCUUUAUAAGGAAGGAGUAGAUUGUGUUAUUAGACGUUGUGUACCUGAACAUGAACAGGGACAAAUCCUACAGAAGUGUCACUCCGAGGCCUACGGAGGACACCAUGCGGGAGAUAGAACUGCACAAAGGUAUUGCAAUCAGGUUUCUAUUGGCCCACUCUCUUCAAGGAUGCCCGUAAGUUUGUCUUGUCUUGUGAUGAAUGUCAAAGAGUAGGUAAUAUCGGUAAAUGUCAGGAAAUGCCUAUGAACUAUUCACUUGUCAUUGAACCAUUUGUUGUAUGGGGCUUUGAUUAUAUGGGACCUUUUCCAAAAUCCAAUGGGUAUACUCAUAUCCUAGUUGUUGUUGAUUACGUCACUAAGUGGGUAGAAGCUAUCCCCACUAGUAGUGCUGAUCACAACACUUCUAUCAGGAUGCUUAAAGAAGUUAACUUCCCUAGAUUUGGAGUCCCUAGAUAUCUAAUGACCGACGGUGGUUCACAUUUCAUUCAUGGUGCUUUCCGUAAAACGCUUGCUAAGUACGAUGUUAACCAUAGAAUUGCGUCUCCCUAUCACCCCUAGUCUAGUGGUCAAGUAGAGCUAAGCAAUAGAAAGAUUAAACUGAUUCUGCAAAAGACUGUCAACAGGUCUAGAAAGAAUUGGUCUAAGAAGCUCGAUGAUGCACUGUGGGCUUAUAGAACUGCCUAUAAGAAUCCCAUGGGCAUGUCUCCGUACAAAAUGGUGUACAGUAAAGCAUGUCAUUUACCUCUUGAGCUAGAGCAUAAAGCUUAUUGGGCAAUCAAAGACCUCAACUUUGAUUUCAAGCUUGCCGGUGAGAAGAGGUUAUUUGACAUUAGCUCGCUUGAUGAAUGGAGAACUCAGGCAUAUGAGAAUGCCAAGUUGUUCAAAGAGAAGGUUAAGAGGUGGCAUGAUAAGAGGAUACAAAAGCGUGAGUUCAAUGUAGGUGAUUAUGUCUUGCUAUAUAACUCUCGUUUAAGAUUCUUUGCAGGCAAGCUUCUCUCUAAAUGGGAAGGUCCCUAUGUUGUUGAGGAAGUAUAUCGUUCCGGUGCUAUCAAGACCAACAACACGGAAGGUAAUUGUCCGAGAGUUGUAAAUGGGCAGAGAAUCAAGCAUUAUAUCUCAGGUACUCCCAUAAAUGUUGAAAUCAAUAUCAUCAAUACCAUAACUCUAGAAGAAUACCUAAGGGACAUUUAUCAGCCUGUUUCAGACUCCGAAAACGAAGAGUAUGUGAUUCGGUAAGAAAACAGAGUCCAAAACUUUUCGAGUAGAAUUUUUUCUCCGUUUUGGAAUAUUUGAAAAAAAAAUUGGAAGUAGUCCGGAAAGUGCGCGAGGAGGCGACAAGCCUUCCCGGCGCGGGCCCACCCCCUGACCGCGCCGGGAGGGCUUGUGGCCACCUCGUGCACCUCCCGGACUCCGUUUUCGUGCGGAGUACUCCUUCUGGUCUGGAAAAAAUCAAUAUAUACUCUCCCGUUUGGUCUGACCCCUACAUCACGCAGAUUUCCUCUGUUUUUUGUUUCGAGCCUGUUUCUGUUGUAGAUCUAGAUCGCUAUGACUUCCCCAAAAGCUCCGAAGGACAAGAUCUUCGAGAAGGUCAUCAAUACCUACCUCACGGGAGUGUUGCAACACCCUCAAUCUAUCGAGAUGCGUGAGGGGAUGUUGCACAUCCGUGAUGUUGAGGGGCCCAAGAAGACCGGAAGCGUGGAGAUGAGGCUCGAAGCAAUGGAGCAACAAGUCUUCAAGUGCCAAGGGAUGGUGGAGCAUGGACUCAAUGCCAACCACAUGAUGAUCAUGGAGUUCACCAACAAGCACAUGAUUGAUGCCAAUGACAUUGGGAAGCACCUCUCCAGGCUCUAUGACAGGAUUGAUCAACUCCAUGCCCAGAUCUAUGACCUGCAGAACCAAAACUGUGAGUAUGAGUAUAGAUUUAAAUCAAUACAGUUGGCUGCAGAUUUGAGGAUUCCAGAGACUCGUUCAUCUUUCCAUGAUGGAGCACCUAUGCCUUGGAAGACGUAGGAUCAAGCCCAUGUUGCAACAACUCCACCACCAUCACCUCCAAAGGAAGACAGCUAAGCAUGGGUAUGGGCAAUCCCCUUGGCUGGUGCCAAGCUUGGGGGAGUUGCCCCGGUAUCGUAUCACCAUCACAUAUUUUCCCUUUACCUUUGUUUUAAGUUUUCCUUUUCAGUUUUCUCUUUCUCUAGUAGAUUAAAAGUCUUAGUGUUUUAGUCUUGAGUUUUGCUUUGUGUCACCCCCGAUGUAUUCGAGCUCGUGAUGUAUGUGCAAGCAAUAAAAAUUGCUCUCUAGUUUGUAUGAUCUAUUAGUGUGUGGAAAAUAAGCUUUGUACGAACCUGUGAUGAGGAAGACAUAAAAGCGACAGACUGCAUAAUAAAGCUCUUUAUCAUAGGAGGCAAUAUAAAGUGACGUUCCUCCACACUAAGAGGACACACAUCCAAACCUCAAAAGCGCAUGACAACCUCUGCUUCCCUCUGCGAAGGGCCUAUCUUGUACCUUUACUUUUUGCCCUUGAAAGAGUCAUGGUGAUCUUCACCAAUUCCUUAUUUCGCCUUUAUCUUGGCUAACGUCAUAUGCUUGGGAAAGAUCUAUAUUCAUAUGUCAACUUGGAAGUAAGUAUUCAUGAUUUAUUAUUGUUGACAUUACCCUUGAGGUAAGCAGUUGGGAGCCAAAACUGUAAGCCCCUAUUUUUCUCUAUAUUCAGCUGAAACUUUGAUCUCAUGAGUACCGCGUGAGUUGCAGCAAUUGUAGAGAACGAAAGAAUGAUUGAGUAUGUGGAUUUGCUUUACAAGCUCUUAUUUGACUAUUUCUAAUGUUGUGAUAAAUUGCAAUUGCUUCAAUGACUAAAGGCUAUCGGUUGUUACUUCUCGGUAAGGUUCUUGAUCCAUGCUUUACUUUGUGAAGGAAUUAUCACUUUAGCAUGAGAGAUUAUAUGUUGGUAUGGCUGUUCUGGUCAUGAUCAUGAUGCAUGCAUGUUCGUAUCUUGUUUUGUCGACACCUCUCUCCCUAAACAUGUGGACAUAUUUAUUGAGCUAGGCUUUCGCUUUAGGACAAGCGAGGUCUAAGCUUGGGGGAGUUGAUACGUCCAUUUUGCAUCAUGUUUUCAUGUUGAUAUUUAUCGCUUCUUGGGCUGUUAUUUCACUUCACGGUACAAUACUUAUGCCUUUUCUCUCUUAUUUUGCAAGGUUUACAUGAAGAGGGAGAAUGCCGGCAGCUGGAAUUCUGGCGUGAAAGAGGAGCAAAGUUGAGAUACCUAUUCUGCGCAACUCCAAACGUUGUAAAAAUCAACGAGGAUUUUUUUUCUGGAUUUAUAAAAAUACUGGGCCAAAGAAGCGCCAGAAUGGGCGCCAGCAAGUGGCCACAAGCCUGCACGGUGCGGCCACCCCCAGGCCGCGCCAAGGGGGCUUGUGGGCAGCCUGCUGGCCCAUUGGCCCCCCUCUUCUGCUAUAUGAAGGGUUUCGUCCAGAAAAAAAAAUCAAGGAGGAGCUUUUUCGUGGAUUCGCCGCCGCCACGAGGCGGAACUUGAGCAGAACCAAUCUAGAGCUCCGGCAGGACGAUCCUGCCGGGGAAACUUCCCUCCCGGAGGGGGAAAUCAUCGCCAUCGUCAUCACCAACACUCCUCUCAUCGAAGGGGACUCGUCACCAUCAACAUAUUCAUCAACACCAUCUCAUCUCCAAACCCUAGUUCAUCUCUUGUAACCAAUCUCCCUCUCGCGACUCCGAUUGGUACUUGUAAGGUUGCUAGUACUGUUGAUUACUCUUUGUAGUUGAUGCUAGUUGGAUUACUUGGUGGAAGAGUUUAUGUUCACAUCCUUGAUGCUACUCAUUACCUCUCUGGUCAUGAAUAUUAUUAUGCUUUGUGAGUAGUUACUUUUGUUCCUGAGGACAUGGGAUAAGUCAUGCUAAUACUAGUCAUGUGAAUUUGGUAUUCGUUCGGUAAUUUGAUGUGUUGUAUGUUGUUUUUCCUCUAGUGGUGUUAUGUGAACGUCGACUACAUAACACUUCACCAUUAUUUGGGCCUAGAGGAAGGCAUUGGGAAGUAGUAAGUAGAUGAUGGGUUGCUAGAGUGACAGAAGCUUAAACCCUAGUUUAUGCGUUACUUCGUAAGGGGCUCAUUUGGAUCCACUAGUUUAAUGUUAUGGUUAGACUUUGUAUUGAUUCUUAUUUCGUAGUUGCGGAUGCUUGCGAGAGGGGUUAAUAAUAAGUGGGAUGCUUGUCCAAGUAAGGGCAGUACCCAAGCGCCGGUCCACCGACAUAUCAAACUAUCAAAGUAACGAACGUGAAUCAUAUGAACAUGAUGAAACUAGCAUGACAGAAAUUCAUGUGUGUCCUCGGGAGCGCUUUUCCUCCUAUAAGACUUUGUCCAGGCUUGUCCCUUGCUACAAAAGGGAUUGGGCCACUUUGCUGCACCAUUGCUACUUUUGUUACUUGUCGCUCUCUACGAAUCAUCUCACCACUCAAUCACUUGUUACCGAUAAUUUCAGUGCUUGCAGAUAUUUCCUUGCUGAAAACCACUUGUCGGAUCCUUCUGCUCCUCGUUGGGUUCGACACUCUUACUUAUCUAAAGGACUACGAUUGAUCCCCUAUACUUGUGGGUCAUCAGCAGGCCGUCCCAGGUAGUGAUGGACGCCUUCGGGAGGUUCAGGAGCCAGGAGAGUGCGCCGCCCUUGAGCGCCAUGGGGAACCAACACGCCAUGACCUUGUCGCCUCCGCCCGCCGCCUUGAUGCUCAGCGUGUAAAGUUGCAGGAACUCAGCCGGGUCUUGGUUGCCAUUGUAGCGCGGGGGCAGGCCGGGGCUUGAACUUGCAGGGCAACUUGGCGGGGUAGAGCUCGGGGGCGAUGGCGGGGCACCCCACCGGUCCGACGGGUAUUGUGUGCACGGGAGCCAUCGAGUCUUGUUGCUCCACGGGGUCUGCUUCGAGCGGGGUGCGCUCACGACGCGUAAUUUGCAGUGCUGGGGGCGCGCACACAUCGGCGCGGGGCCGUGGAACCACCUGGCAGCUUGCUUCGUCUCAAGGUCCCGCCCUCGGUUCGUGAGGCCGGUCGCGGGGUCGCGCUUCCUGUCUGGGCUCGGGGUCCGCGACGCGCCGUGGAGGUGGGGGUGGCGCGUCUUCCUCCUCAUUGUUUGUCAGGGACGGUUGGGGUCGGAGUGAGAAGGAGAGUGCCGCGGAGUCACCGGCGGCGAUGAUGAGCUCCUCGAUGCGCUGGAGCCAGUCGUCGUGGCAGUUAGGAGCAGGCCGGUAGCGGGGCAGCUCGGUGGCCAUGGAAAGCGUGCGCCGGCCGUGGGGCAUCUCUGGCCGGUCGCGCGAUACCUACCCUGAAGGUCGGGCGAGUGACGGAGUGGCGGUGCGGCCAUCCGCCUGCUCGGUCGCCGGCUGGGAGGAACCUUGUUGCUCUUGAACCUCGGGGCCGGUGGCAGCAUUCACCACGGGUGACGGCGACCGGCGCGCCGGCAUCGAUGGGCGCUUUCUGGGCGAUGCGGGUGGCACGGUGCUCCACGCGAACCCGGCGAGCGUCAACCAUCGGAGCGGCAGAGCUUGGUAAAGAUGGAUUUUGGACGGAACCUCGACAUACACCCUACCUGGCGCGCCAAAUGUCAGAUUUCGGGCUUCACAAAACCCUAAGGAUUCGAACACAGGGGCGUGUACGAAGAUCUCUCCCUGCUCGGCCUCACCUAGCUCACUACUCGAUGGAAACGACGAAGGACUCGCUCGAUGGUGAGGGGAACGCAAAACACGACAGUUUACCCAGGUUCGGGCCGCUGCGAAGCGUAAAACCCUACUCCUCUUUUGGUGGAUUGCCUCUCUCGGAGGUGGGUGGAUGAACUAGUACAGUGCUCUCGAGCCUCCGGAGGCCAAGUGAUUGAGUGUGUUGCUCUUGAUUGGGAAUGAACUGCCCCCCCCCCCCCCCCGGNNNNNNNNNNNNNNNNNNNNNNNNNNNNNNNNNNNNNNNNNNNNNNNNNNNNNNNNNNNNNNNNNNNNNNNNNNNNNNNNNNNNNNNNNNNNNNNNNNNNNNNNNNNNNNNNNNNNNNNNNNNNNNNNNNNNNNNNNNNNNNNNNNNNNNNNNNNNNNNNNNNNNNNNNNAAGUAUCCUACCCUCUCUCUUUAUAGUGGAGGCCAGGGUCCUCUUCCCUCAUAGCUUCGAGGGGAAGGGGUCCUAAAGCGGCCAAUUUUGAAGGGGGGCAAGGGAACAUGCUCCCCUGCCCAAAGGUGAUCUUCGCCUGCAAAGUAACUGCUCGCGCUGUAGGGAUGGGCCCGAAGGUGACGCUUGCCCUACUGGUGGGCGGUGGCGGCUUCGUUGCAGCAGAAAGGAAACCUUUGGAAGAUGCCUUUGGAACCCCUGUACGCUUCCGCCCCCUUUGCACUAAAGGGGAAACUGUUCCAUCCUGCCAUUUGUUGCUCGCAUGUCCUUCCCCAGCGUCACCCUUGACUCGUGAGGCCCGACCUUGCCUCGGAAUAUCCGCCACUCCGGAGGGGUCGUGAGGAGGCCCCGUGCAGGUCUUGACAAUGCUUCCCAUCGUGAGGCUUGGCCCCUCACAAGGGCCUUGCCUUGAACGGUGUCGGGCCCGUCGGUUUGUUUUUGUGAGGUGAGCCUGCCCUGGGCCACACGCAGGCAGGUCUGGGUACCCCCAUUCCUAGAACGCCGACAACUAGAAAAACCACAAAAAUCUUACUAUAGUAUGUUCCUUGAGAGUCUUUGCGUAGGAGAGGAUAGAUAUGUGACACAAGCUAGAAUAAAAAGUAUUCAUUUUCCCUGUAUUCGCUGCUUUGCAUUGUUUAAUGAAACAUGUGUAGUAGGUAAGCACGACUAUAAUGCACUUUGUGCUCCCGACUUGAGUCUCGUUCACACUACGGUUACUCGUGAGAGAUGAUACAACCUUCGUGCAAGUGUUGCUCGCAGCCUGCACCUUAAUGCGGGUAUUUGUCGGGGAUAUAACCCCACGAUAUAAUUCACCCUAUUGGGUCGGGUCAUCCUGAUGGCGUCUCAUAAGCAAUACACAAGGUGGGCUGAAACUCGGAGGAACAAGACCGGCAAGGCAGCUUACCAAGUAAGUCGGUUUGCGGCCCAAUGUGAGAAGACGGCGAAUCAAGGCCCAAGAGGUGUAAAGUCACCUAGAGUUUCCUUGCUUAGGAGGCAAGGCGAGUUAGAGAUAUACUUGGUCACGAAUCAUAACACGACUCGGACCCUUGUAAGCCAAGGGCCUCGACCUAUAUAUAAAGGCGAGGCCUUGAUACAAAUAGACUUAAGUUGCAAUAGAUCAAUAGCUAGGUCAAGUGAAUCCGCUCCCUUGUAAUUAAUAUCCAAGCAAUAAGCAGAAAGUAGGAGUAGGCUUUUACCUCGAUCAUGAGGGGCCAAACCAGGGUAAACUGUAUGUCUCGAUUCCGAUCAACCCCAACAAGCUAACCAUCCAGUUGCGAUGGCCUCACGUCUAAGUCCUCACACAAGGACAUGUGUGGUGACCAAACCACAAUAGUUGGCACCCACCAUGGGGACAGCGCACUAUGGUUUUGAGUUCUUGAAGGGCUCUUUCCCACGGCUCGAGGGAUACGCCAUUGACAAGAUGACAAAGAGCCACCACGAAAAACUCUACAUCGACGAUGUUGUGUGGGGUCCCGAGGCCGACUCAAUCGAGUACGGGUACCAGGUCCCCUUUGGCAAGAUUCGUGUCUUCAUGAGCAAGAUCGGCGAGUCAGAAUCCGAGUUGAACAUCUGCACCGACCUCAUUGAGUUGGCUCGGCAUGCGCAACCCGCCCGGAGUCAAGUCGGACAGAAGCAUGUUUUUGUUGGUUUUGUGCAAGGUGUAGAACUUGAGGAAAACUCUGUGUCUGGAGGAGAGACUCUUGUUUAUAUAGAUGAUGAGUCCUCAACCAAAGAGACGGAGUCGGUUUAUCUGCUUGAAGAUAGCGGGCUUGGGGGCUACUCCAAUGGCAAUAGUAUUCCGGACCCCAAUGAGCCGCCGUAUCGAGCCGCCAUCUUCAUGAACGGGACGACGCCGGCUCUCCACACUAUAGUGGUCGAAGCAACAACAAUAGUUGACCCUUCAGCACCGGCUUCUGGGGUAUCUGAUUCGGUUAGGCCACCGACUCAAGUUUUGUCUGAGCCGAUGACCACCCUGACAACCUUACUAGGGACCUAGAUCACUGUGGAAAAUCAAGCAAGACGCAAUGCGGAGAUUGCAAAGAUACAUGAACAGAUGACCAAGUCUGAGGAAGACAUUAACGCUGAGAUCACCUGGACAGCAACACUUCAAGCUCAGGUUAAUGUGGAAGCACAUCGUCUGAAGAAGGAGGCAUGGCGUCUUAGCCUUGAUCAAAACACAUCCAAUGCAGUUCUUCGCCGGAGGCACGAUACCCGUUUACCCCCAGUCUAUGAGCCCACACGUUUGCUCAACUCUCCAGGAGCAUGCCCAAGUACUCCACAAGCACCAGUUAUACCCCAAUUGACUUAUGUGAUGCCUGGGGCAGGGUGGCAGCUCAACCUCAUCGGCCAGAGCCAGCACGGAGGGAAGAGCCGGUCCUAGACCUGCCCCUAGUCCACACGACACUCAUGUCUACUGCACAACUUUAUUCUUGUAGACUAUGUUGGGCCUCCAAGCGCAGUGUUUUGUAGGACAGUAGCAAUUUUCCCUCAAGUGGAUGACCUAAGGUUUAUCAAUCCAUGGGAGGUGUAGGAUGAAUAUGGUCUCUCUCAAACAACCCUGCAAUCAAAUAAUAAAUACUCUCUUGUGUCCCCAACACACCCAAUACAAUCGUAAAUUGUAUAGGUGCACUUGUUCGGCGAAGAGAUGGUGAUACAAGUGUAGUGAUGAUAGUAGAUAUAUUUUUUGUAAUCUAAUAAUAUAAAAACAGCAAGGUAGCAAGUGUAAAGCGAGCCUCAUUUUCUAUGGCAUGAGAUUCGGCUUGCUAGCUUUCAGUACAAGCGAGCCUUUCCUCAUGCCUCCUUCAUCCAGGCUCUUAUUGAUCAUGUAGCUGAUUUCUCUGUGGCUGUCACUCACACACAUCGCAAGUGGGUCAUUCCCGCUCACAUGGCGGAUAACUAUGCUCUCAAGAAAACCCCCUCAUCCUCCACAUCCACUCGUCGCACUGCUGCCCGGUCCGCCACCCCCUCAUCUAGCUCCGCUCCUCUCGGUCGCAUUGCCAAAUUCCUUGGCAAGGCCCAUUCUGCUUUGAUGAAGGCCGUCUCUUUCCAGUGUGGCCAAACCCAUGAUGUGGUUUCUCGCUUAGUCUCCUCCAAGAAUGCUCUCAAGGCUCGUCUGAGAGCCUCGGGCGCUCUUGAUGUGAGUGAUGAUGAGGCCACUCCUGCUGCUCCUCCUACUGAUUUUGGCUUCCCAUCUGGUCCUGAGUGGGCUGAUUUCCUUGACGAGGCUGGUGGCAGUGGCUUGCCUAAUGAUGAUGAUGAUGAUGAUGAUGAGCUCUGAGCAUGGUUGUUGCUGGUGGUAUCUCCCUUUUUGGUACUUGGUGCCAAAGCGGGAGUAAUGUAUCGUAGUUUUUAGUCUUUGGAGAUUUAAUGUAAUGGAUAAACUCAUGUAUGGCUACUUAUGAAUGAUUGUGAUUUGCUAUGGAUUGCUAUGAUAUCAUCAUCGACUAUUAUGUUUUGCUCUACUACUUCUAUGAUGAUCUAUUAUCUUUACAUGUUGAUCCAUUGGUUCUUCGAUAUUUUAUCAUGCAUAUACUAAGGGGGAGCUCCGUACUAAAUAUCUCCUAGGCUAUAAUGUAUGUUAAAUCUUUUUGAGACCUAUGUAAAUGUUGUCAUCAACUACCAAAAAGGGGGAGAUUGAAAGUGCAUGCUAUGCCCCUAAUCGACUUUUGGUGUUAAUGACAACACAUACAUAGGAAACUAAUCCUAUUUGUUGAGUGUAUCUCAGGAUGGCAAGUACUUUAGUAAAUUGAGAAUUAUGUGCCAAAGGUUGUCUCAGAAGAUUGGGAUUUAUAAUUCGAGAAGGCUCGGGAUUAUGAAAAGAUGAUGUAGACUAGUCUUUUGAGUUUAGUGAUAUUGAGUAUAGGGAUCUCGCACUAUUAAGAGGGGAUCACAGGUUUUGCGAUGAACUUGAUCAUACCACAUCUUUACUAUCAUACCCAAUACCACACAUUCUCCACUCUGUUCUUCUAUCAAAACAGGUCUAUUGCCUCGGACAUCCGGCUCCCUCCGGACGUCCGAGGGCCGGACGACCGACAGGCUUCGGAAAUCCGCAGCCCUUCACCAGAAGUUUGUGAGUCAUAUAACUCGGAAAUCCGGCUCCCUCCGGACAUCCGAGGGCCAGACGUCCGACCAGCCCCGGAAAUCCGGAACCCUGCACCAGUAGAAGUUGAGUUCUAUAACUCGGAUUUCCGGCUCCCUCCGGACGUCCGAGGGCCGGACGUCCGACCCCCUUCGGAAAUCCGGAACCUACCACGAGAAGAAGUUGAGUCGUAUAACUCGGAUUUCCGGUCCUCUCCGGACGUCCGGUCGUUGUUCAAGUCAAAACAGUUUCAGUCAUAUCUACAUGCCUCGGACGACUGACCCCUGUCGGACGUCCGACCCCUCGCGGACGCUCGGACGUCCGGCAACUGUCGGACGUCCGGACCCUAUGUGACUUAAAGUGCCCCCAACGGCUGGAUUUCACUCCCCACUAUAUAUACUCUUCUCCCACCUCGGGAAAGGGUGUUCAACACAGCUAAGACACAUCCAAGAACACCUUUCCUCUCACUCACUCUUGUCUACACCAAAUCCUAGAUCCCAAGAGCAUUUGUGAGUCCUUUUGAGUGUUGUUCCAAUCAAAAGAUAGAUCGUCUCCCUCUCCUCCUUCCCACCAAAGUGAUUCGUGAUUUGAGCAAGUUUUGAGCAAUCCCCGUGAUCUUGUUACUCUUGGAGGUUGGAGACUCCUAGGCGGUAGGAGUCUUCGGAGAGGAAUCAAACCAUUGUGAUUUCCCCCGGAAAGUUUGUGAAGGUUUGGAAGCCACCUCAAGGCUUACCACUAGUGGUUGAGAAACGCUUUCGUGGAGUUAUCUCAAAGGGAGAAUAGGGUGAGCCUUUGUGGCAUUGGUGUGCCUUCGUGGUAACAUCCGCCCCUCUAAUGGUGACGUAGCUUCCCUCCAAGGAAGUGAACAUCCGGAUACAUCCUUGUCUCUCUUGGAGUUUCGGUUAUUCCUAACCCUAACUCUCUACUUGUGUUAAUCCUUAUUACGUACUUGUAUUUGAUUAUUGUUUACCGCUUGUCUUACUUCACUCUAAAUAGCUUACUCCUUGUUGUAGCAAUUAUUAGGCCUACACUCAUAUUCCGCACUUUUGCCUAAAAUUGCUAAGUAAUUAUUAAAAUUUGGAUUUGUACCUAUUCACCCCCCCCCCCUCUAGGUCCAUCUCGAUCCUUUUCAACAAGGCUCGUGAUAUAUCAAGAUAAUGACAUAUCAAGAACAUGAGAGAGAGAGAGAGAAUAAACACAUAGCUACUAGUACAAACCCUCAGCCUCGAGGGUGGACUACUCCCUCCUCGUCAUGGCCUCCGCCGGGAUGAUGAAGAUGACUACCGGAGAUGAUUUCCCCUCUCUCGCACGGUACUGGAACGUCUCCAGAUUGGUUUUUCAUGUCUACAGAGGCCUGCGGCAGCGAAACUUCUCGUCUAGGGUUAUUUCUGGAGGUUUCUAUAUUUAUAGGAUUUUUGGGCGUUGGAAUCACGCCAAGAUGGGCCAGGAGGUUCCCACUAGAUACCAUGCCGCGCUAGGGGGCUCGCGUGCCCUGGUGUCUAAUGGGCACCAGGGGUCCCCCUCUGGUGGUUCUUUGCUCUAGUAUUCUCUUUUCCACCAAAAAAUCAUCAAAAAGUUUCGUCCAAUUCCGAUAACUUUUAUUUCUGCACACAAAACAACACCUCGGUAGUUCUGUUGAAAACAUCGUUAGUCCGGGUUAGUUCUAAAUAAAUCAUAUAAAGUGCAGCAAAACCAUAUAAAAGUAUUGUAAACAUAGGCAGACAUGCCAUGAAUACUUCAUAAAUUAUCGAUACGUUGGAGAUGUAUCACCGUCCCCAAGCUUAAUUACUACUCGUCCUCGAGUAGGUAAAUGAUAAAAGAAAUAAUUUAUGAAGUGUGAAUGCUAGCAUAGUGCAUAAGUUUGAUCAAUGAUAAUUUCAAUCACUUUUCCUAUCAUCAUAAUGCAACUCUUUCUCAUAAAACUCAUCAUGAUAAAGUAGCAACAAAUUCACAUGUUAUGGUUCAAACAAUGAACUCUCUUGAAACUUAACAACCUAUGUUCUUAGUCACCAAACAAUUGCAAUUCAACUUAUUCUCAACAAAGUCUAAGUAAGAGCUCCACAUACUCAAUCAUCAUAUAGCCUUCUAUGAUUGCUAGUACUCAAAGCAUAUUUUUAGAACAAAUGGCAUCCAUCAAACACAGAGAAAUAUAGGGGCUUAAUGCUUCGCCUCCCAACUCAUUUAUCAUAGAGAUAAUUGUCAACAAUAAUAAGUCAUGAUCAAAUAUAUUUGACUGGCCAUAUGUGCCUAGAUCUUUCCCCACCACAUGAUCCUUGCCAACUAGAGAAUAAUUGAGGUUGAAAUGAGAAUGCAUACUAUUAACUAUUGCAUAAAAGUAAAUAUUGGAAAGUAAAAGGUAGGCCCUUCGUAGAGGGAAGCAGAGGUUGUCAUGCGCUUUUUUGUUUUGUAUGCACAAUCCCUUAAUGCAAAAGAACAUCACGUUAUAUUGCCCCUUAUGAUAGCAACCUUUAUUAUGCAGUCUGUCACUUUUAUUACUUUGCCAUCAGAAGUUCAUACAAUGCUCAUUUUCUCUUGCACUAAAUGAUCAAACAUAUUUAGAAGCAAUUUUUAUUUCCUUUUUGCACCGAUGACAACUUACUUGAAGGAUUUUAUUUAAUCCAUAGGUAGGUAUGGUGGACACUCAUGGCAAGAAACUGGGUUUAAGGGCUUUGGGAUGCACAAGUAGUAUCUGUACUUAGUGCGAAUUUUUGGUUAGCAAAAGAUCCUAAGCAAACACCACAUGUUGGAGGAUCCAUAACAAUAUAACUUCUAUGCAAAUAUACACAACCAUAACUCAUUGCGUUGUCUUCCUUGUCCAACUUCAACUAAUUUGCCCAAGUUUGAAAAUAAUUAAUGGGUAUUCACAAUCAUAGAAGAUGUCCAAGAUAAUAUAUUUAUAUGUGAAAGUUAUCUUCCUUGUACCAAUCAAUCAUGAAUUGCUUGUAUGACCAAUAUUGUGACUGUCAAGCUUCAAAAGAUUUCACUUUCUAAACCCAAUGUGAAGCUACUACUAGGCAUGACUUGAACAUAUAAUUUCAACUUCAUGGUAUUCAACUCAUUCAACAAUUUACUCAUAGGAUAUAAGUGAAGCACAAGAGCAAACAAUCAAACUACUUCCAAAAGAUACAAGUGAAGAUCAAUGAGUAGUUAAACAAUCAAGUAGCUAUGUGAGGACUCUCUCUUAAUAAAGAUUUCCAGAUCUGAUAUUUUAUUUCAAACAACAAAUAAAACAAAAGGCACUCCAAGAAUAGCACAUAUCAUGUGGACAAAUAAAAACUUAGGCUCAACAUAGGCUAACCGAUAUUUGUUCCAUGAAGAGAGGUUGGAUGCGUAGCAUCCCCAAGCUUAGAUGCUUGAGACUUCUUGAAAUAUUUACUUGGGGAAGAGCAUACCCCCGGGUGGAAGAAGUUGCAUGAGAAGAAAAUUGCCUCAGAGGGACAGUUGAAAGACCUCGUAGCGGAACUUAUGAAAGACUUGGCUAAGCUCUACAUCGAGUGUGAGGAGCUCGUGAAGGAAUUAGUGGCUCGUGUGAAGGAACUUCAUGCGUAUAUGAAGGAUAGCAUCGACGCUCUCAAGCAAAAAACCUGCAACAUGGCCACAAUGCGUAAGAUGAUGGAGGAGAGUCAAGAGGAUAUGAAAGUCGUGGAGGCGAUGAAUAAGGGGAUUGGGGAACUCCGAUCCAAGCAAUCCAUCAAGAAUUAGAUAGGAGCGUCCCUGAUCGUUGUUUGUGUCUUCCUUCUUCUGCCACUUCCUUCUUCUUUUGCCCCUGUGUCUUUUGGGAGUUCCCACAUGUAGCAUUUUUUAUUAUCCUAAAUAUGUAAGACAAUUAUUAUCCUUUGCCGAUGCGGAUUUGUCGUUGUAUUAUUUUGUUCUUAAGUACAUGUAUACGAGUUGAAAAUAGGCGAAAAGUCAAGUUCUUAGCGAGGCACGAACAAAACAAUGCUUACAUUGAGUGGGGCAAUGGGAUCACAAGCAACUAGUCCCUUCGUCCAGGCACAUUAACCGCAUGAUAAACAGCGGGUCGGACACAGUUAAUUCAGAAGUUGGGAGCAAGGCGAGCGGAGGGUGGAGGUCAUAGUAUCACUUCCCGAUGAGCCUACACAGCAGACUACUCUCAUGCACCCCGUCGAGUCUGUGCGAUGGACAGAUAUCACGCGUCUCGUCGAGCCUGCGCGGCAAACAACUCUCAUGUUCUCCGCUGAGCGUGUGCGGCGGAAAGUUCGCACACGCCCUACCAUCAAACAGCUGCACGCAAGGAACACCCAUAUCAAGUAAAAAAAAGUUGGAUGUGUGGCACCAAAUGGUUAUCAGAACGCACACGAUUCACGUAAUGCAAUCUUUUGUGAUAAUAAUGUGGCAACUAUCUAUACUAAAAUGUCUAUGUUGCUUGUUAUUGUGUGAGCCUUCUCAAAUUGGAAAACAUACGGUACCAAGGCCUAUAGGUGUCAUGUCAUGACACCGGGGUAAGUUUCAUGAAUUUCAUAUGAGUUUUGUAUUUACAGGAAUUCAAAAAACAAGAUUCUCAAUGAUUGCGGCUGAGACACCAUGCCUGAAUAUUUGUACUUCAUCCACAUUCAUUGCAUGGGACCUAAGAAAGCACCCAGGGACACAAAAAUGAUUUUUCAACAAAUUAUGUUGCACUAGAGCAUGUGCUUCUAGUACAAGAUUUGGAUGACCCAUAUUAGAUCCCUAGAAAACUCAACUGAUUUAUAAAAAGGGCCAAAUGCCCCCUACAUAAUUCCAUAUUUCACCACGCCACCAAUACUAGUCUUUGUUGCAUAUAUAAAAAAUUCCAGUCAAGAGAAUACAUUGAAUGUAGUUUCACCCCAAAGGUGACAUGUUCCCUAUAGAAAUCACAAGUCUUCUUGCAUAAGCCUUGGCUUGUAAGAUGCAUGUCCCAAUACUUGUCUCAAAUUGAUCAUAAAAAUUAGCACGCCGUAUAUGUGUCGUGGCGUAACACUAGGUAAGUUUCAUGAAUUUCAAACGAGUUUUGGAUUUUCGAGGUUUAACAACCAAGAUUCUCAAUGUUUGCGGCCUAUUCACGAUGCCAAGAUGUUUGUAAAUCAUUCACAUCCAGUGCAUGGGAUCUAAAUAGGGACCCAAUGACACAAAAAAUGUUUUUCAACACAUUUUGGUGCCCUCGAGCAUGUGCUUGUAGUUCAAAUUUGAGUUUUGCACAUUAAGUGCCUAAAAAACUCAAUGUCAUUUUCGCCCACAAAUGUGACAUGUUCCCUAUCGAAAUGAUGAGGCUUAUCAUGGGAAGCUCCAAUUUGUAAGAGAUUUGUCCCAAAAUAUGUCCCACGUUGGUCAAAAAAUUUAGCACAACGUACAUGUGGUGUGUCAAGACACUUGGGUAAGUUUCAUGAAUUUCAGACGAGUUUUGGAUUUGUGGGGAUAUAAAAACCCGAAUCCUCAAUGUUUGGAGCCUAGUCACAAUGUCGAGAUGGUCGUAAUCCAUUCACAUUCAUUGCAUGGGACGUAAACAGGGACCCAAGGACACAAAAACGAUUUUCCAACCCAUUUUGGUGUCGUGGAGCAUGUACUUGUAGUUCAAAUUUCAAUUAUGCCCAUUAAUUGUCUAGCAAACUCAAUUAACGUAUAAAGGGGCCAAACGAGCCGUGAAUGAUUACACAUUUUAGCACUGCACUUGUAUUAGUCGAUGUUGCAUGUAGAGAAAAAAAUUAAGAAAUUAAGAGGCGCUGAAUGUCGUUCCGCCUACACAGGUGACAAUUUCCCUACUGAAACCAUGAUGCUUCUUGAGAGAAGCUCUCGUGUGCAAGAGACUUGUCCCAAAUUGGUCAAAAAUAUACCAUGUCAUAUAAGUGUCGUGUCAUGACAUCGGGGUAAGUUUCAUGAAUUUCACACGAGUUUUGGAUUUUGGGGGAUUUAAAAGUCAAUUUUCUCAAUGUUUGCGACCUGGUCACAACGCCGAGAUGUUUGCAAUCCAUUCACAUUCAUUGCACGAGACCUAAAUAGGGACCCAAGGACACAAAUAUGAUUUUUAACCCAUUUUGGUGACAUGGAGCUUGUGCUUUUAGUUCAAAUUUAAAUUAUGCACGUUGAUGACCCACAAGUAUAGGGGAUCAAUCGUAGUCCUUUCGAUAAUUAAGAGUGUCGAACCCAACGAGGAGCAGAAGGAUCUGACAAGUGGUUUCAGCAAGGAAAUAUCUGCAAGCACUGAAAUUAUUGGUAACAAGUGAUUGUGUGGUGAGAUGAUUCGUAGCAAGCAACAAGUAACAAAAGUAGCAACGAUGCAGCAAAGUGGCCCAAUCCCUUUUGUAGCAAGGGACAAGCCUGGCAAAGUCUUAUAGGAGGAAAAACGCUCCCGAGGACACACGGGAAUUUCUGUCAUGCUAGUUUCAUCAUGUUCAUAUGAUUCGCGUUCGUUACUUUGAUAGUUUGAUAUGUGGGUGGACCAACGCUUGGGUACUUCCCUUACUUGGACAAGCAUCCCACUUAUGAUUAACCCCUCUCGCAAGCAUCCACAACUACGGAAGAAGAAUUAAGACAAAGUCUAACCAUAGCAUUAAACUAGUGGAUCCAAAUCAGCCCCUUACGAAGCAACACAUAAACUAGGGUUUAAGCUUCUGUCACUCUAGCAACCCCAUCAUCUACUUACUACUUCCCAAUGCCUUCCUCUAGGCCCAAAUAAUGGUGAAGUGUUAUGUAGUCGACGUUCACAUAACACCACUAGAGGAAAAACAACUUACAACACAUCAAAAUAUCGAACAAAUACCAAAUUCACAUGACUACUAUUAGCAAGACUUAUCCCAUGUCCUCGGGAACAAAAGUAACCACUCACAAAGCAUAAUCAUAUUCAUGACCAGAGAGGUAAUGAGUAGCAUCAAGGAUCUGAACACAAACUCUUCCACCAAAUAAUCCAACUAGCAUCAACUACAAAGAGUAAUCAACACUACUGGCAACCUUACAAGUACCAAUCGGAGUCGCGAGACGGAGAUUGGUUACAAGUGAUGAACUAGGGUUUGGAGAUGAGAUGAUGCUGAUGAAGAUAUUGAUGGUGAUGAGUCCCCUCCAAUGAGAGGAGUGUUGGUGAUGACGAUGGCGACGAUUUCCCCCUCCGAGAGGGAAGUUUCCCAGGCACGAUCGUCCUGCCGGAGCUCUAGAUUGGUUCUGCUCAAGUUCCGCCUCGUGGCGGCGGCGAAUCCACGAAAAAGCUCCUCGCUGAUUUUUUUUUCUGGACGAAACCCUUCAUAUAGCAGAAGAGGGGGGCCAGUGGGCCAGCAGGCUGCCCACAAGCCCCCUUGGAGCGGCCUCGGGGGUGGCAGCGCCGUGCAGGCUUGUGGCCACCUACUAGCGCCCCUCUGGCGCUUCUUCAGCCUAGUAUUUUUUAUAAAUACGGAAAAAAAAUCCUCGUUGAUUUUACGGUGUUUGGAGUUGCGCAGAAUAGGUAUCUCAACUUUGCUCCUCUUUCAGGCCAGAAUUCCAGCUGCAUGCAUUCUCCCUCUUCAUGUAAACCUUGCAAAAUAAGGGAGAAAAGGCAUAAGUAUUGUACCGUCAAGUGAAAUAACAGCCCAAGAAGCGAUAAUACUAACAUGAAAACAUGAUGCAAAAUGGACGUAUCAACUCCCCCAAGCUUAGACCUCGCUUGUCCCCAAGCGAAAGCCUAGCUCAAUAAAUAUGUCCACAUGUUUAGGCAGAGAGGUCUCGACAAAACAAGAUACGAGCAUGCAUGCAUCAUGAUCAUGAUCAUAACAGCCAUACCAACAUAUAAUCUCUCAUGCUAAAGUGAUAAUUCCUUCACAAAGUAAAGCAUGGAUCAAGAACCUUACCGAGAAGUAACAACCGACAACCUUUAGUCAUUGAAGCAAUUGCAAUUUAUCACAACAUCAGAAAGAGUCAAAUAAGAGCUUGUAAAGCAAAUACACAUACUCAAUCAUUCUUUCGUUCUCUACAAUUGCUACAACGCACGUUGUACUCAUGAGAUCAAAGUUUCAGCUGGACACAGAGAAAGAUAGGGGCUUACACUUUUGCCUCCAAACUGCUUACCUCAAGGGUAACUUCAACAAUAAUAAUUCAUGAAUACUUACUUCCAAGUUGACAUAUGAAUAUAGAUCUUUCCCAAGCAUAUGAUGGUAGCCAAGAUAAAGGCGAAAUAAGGAAUUGGUGAAGAUCACCGUGACUCUUUCAAGGGAAAAAAGUAAAGGUACAAGAUAGGCCCUUCGUAGAGGGAAGCAGAGGUUGUCAUGCGCUUUUGAGGUUUGGAUGUGUGUCCUCUUAGUGCGGAGGAACGUCAUUUUAUAUUGCCUCCUGUGAUAAAGAACUUUAUUAUGCAGUUUGUCGCUUUUAUGUCUUCCUCGUCACAGGUUCGUAUGAAGCUUAUUUUCCACACACUAAUAGAUCAUGCAUAUUAGAGAGCAAUUUUUAUUGCUUGCACCGAUGACAACUUACUUGAGGGAUCUUAUUCAAUCCAUAGGUAGGUAUGGUGGACUCUCAUGGCAAAUCUGGGUUGAAGGUUUAUGGAUGCACAAGUAGUAUCUCUACUUGGUGCCGGAGUUUUGGAUAAUAUGAGGUGGAAGAAAUCGUCACAUGCUAAGGGAUCUCUAAUCAUAUAACAUUGUUCGGAGUCAAGCAAACACAAUUCAUUAUGUUGUCUUCCUUGUCCAACAUCUACUUGUAGGCAUGCAAUAGUUUAGUGAGUGUUCACAAUCAUAGAUGGUGUGAGAGAUGAUAUAUUUAUAUGUGAACCUAUCCUUCUUUAUCACUUCCUAUUAAUUGCAACAAUGACCAAGGUCUACGUUUGUCUACCCUCAACAUGUUUCAAUCAUCAUUCUUUUUAUAUGUGAAGCCAUCACUUCCCAUAAGAUCAUUACAUGAUCUUUCAUGCUUUUGUUCUUUUCUCACUCUUUUGAUCAUGGCAAGAGGCAUAUCCCUUCAACUAAGACACUCUUUAUUAUAUGGCUCACGAGCUCGAAUACAUCGGGGGUGACACAAAGCAAAACUCAAGACUAAAACACUAAGACUUUUAAACUACUAGAGAAAAAGAAAGAAAACUGAAAAGGAACAAACUAAAACAAAGGUAAAGGCAAAAGAUGUGAUGGUGAUACGAUACCGGGGCAACUCCCCCAAGCUUGGCACCAGCCAAGGGGAUUGCCCAUACCCACGCUCAGUUAUAUUCCUUUGGUGAUGAUGGUGGUGGAGUUGUUGCAACCUUUGAUUCCAAGAGGGCCAUCAAUCUUUGAUUUAUACCUUGGAGAUCUGUGAUAUAUUUCUCCAACAAAACAACUUCACGAGUGAGAUAAGUAUUGCGAGCAAGAGUUGUUUCACAAAACCUCAAGAGUUCAAUAAAGGAUGGAGACAGUAGGUCGAGGUAGGGUUGGAGGAAAUCCACUUCUUCAACUUCUUCCUUGUUGAGCACAGAUUGCACUUCAUCCCACGCGUGAUCUUUCUCCUUAUCUUUCUCCUUGGUUUCUUUAGGUAACCUCUCCUUAGCCUCCAUGACCUCCAUCCUUUUCAGAUCAGCAUGUAUUUCUCCAUAGACUUGAGGGAGAUUGUUCUCCCCCACAAAUUCCUGGGACGACAUCUUGUCCUAAAUCUGCGGCAGAAAACAGGCUCGAAACGAAAAACAGAGGAAAUCUGCGUGAUACGAGGGUCAGACCAAACGGGAGAGUAUAUAUUGAAUUUUUUCCAGACCAGAAGGAGUACUCCGCACGAAAACGGGGUCCGGGAGGCGCACGAGGUGGCCACAAGCCCUCCCGGCGCGGCCAGGGGGUGGGCCCGCGCCGGGCAGGCUUGUCGCCUCCUCGCGCACUUCCCGAACUAUUUCCAAUUUUUGUAUUUUUUCAAAUAUUCCAAAACGGAGAAAAUUUUGGACUCUCUUUUCAUACCGAAUCACAUACCUCUUCGUUUUCGGAGUCUCAAACAAACUGAUAAAUGUCCCGUAGGUAUUCUUCCGGAGUUAUGGUAUUGAUGAUAUUGCUUUCAACAUUUAUGGGAGUACCUGAGAUAUAAUGCUUGAUUCUCUGCUCAUUUACAACUCUCGGACAAUUACCUUCCGUGUUGUUGAUCUUGAUAGCACCGGAGCGAUAUACUUCCUCAACAACAUAGGGACCNNNNNNNNNNNNNNNNNNNNNNNNNNNNNNNNNNNNNNNNNNNNNNNNNNNNNNNNNNNNNNNNNNNNNNNNNNNNNNNNNNNNNNNNNNNNNNNNNNNNUUCCCAUUUAGAGAGAAGCUUGCCUACAAAGAAUCUUAAACGAGAGUUAUAUAGCAAGACAUAAUCACCUACAUUGAACUAACGCUUUUGUAUCCUCUUAUCAUGCCACCUCUUAACCUUCUCUUUGAACAACUUGGCAUUCUCAUAUGCCUGAGAUCUCCAUUCAUCAAGCGAGUUAAUAUCAAAUAACCUCUACUCACCGGCAAGUUUGAAAUCAAAGUUGAGCUCUUUGAUUGCCCAAUAAGCUUUAUGCUCUAGCUCAAGAGGUAAAUGACAUGCUUUACCGUACACCAUUUUGUACGGAGACAUGCCCAUGGGAUUCUUAUACGCAGUCCUAUAAGCCCACAGUGCAUCAUCGAGCUUCUUAGACCAAUUCUUUCUAGACCUGUUGGUAGUCUUUUGCAGAAUCAGGUUAAUCUCUCUAUUGCUUAGCUCUACUUGACCAGUGGACUAGGGGUGAUAGGGAGAUGCAAUUCUAUGGUUGACAUCGUACUUAGCAAGCGUUUUACGGAAAGCACCAUGAAUGAAAUGUGAACCACCAUCGGUCAUUAGAUAUCUAGGGACUCCAAAUCUAGGGAAAAUAACUUCUUUAAGCAUCCUGAUAGAAGUGUUGUGAUCAGCACUACUAGUGGGGAUAGCUUCUACCCACUUAGUGACGUAAUCAACAACAACUAGGAUGUGAGUAUACCCGUUGGAUUUUGGAAAAGGUCUUAUAUAAUCAAAGCCCCAAACAUCAAAUGGUUCAAUGACAAGUGAAUAGUUCAUAGGCAUUUCCUGACGUUUACCGAUAUUGCCUACUCUUUGACAUUCGUCACAAGACAAGACAAACUUACGCGCAUCCUUAAAGAGAGUGGGCCAAUAGAAACCUGAUUGGAAUACCUUGCGUGCAGUUCUAUCUCCCGCAUGGUGUCCUCCAUAGGCCUUGGAGUGACACUUCUGUAGGAUCUGUCCCUGUUCAUGUUCAGGUACACAACGUCUAAUAACACCAUCUACUCCUACCUUAUAAAGGUGAGGAUCAUUCCAAAAGUAAUGUCUCAAGUCAAAGAAGAAUUUCUUCUUUUGCUGGUAUGUGAAACUAGGUGGUAUAUAUAUUUGGCAACGAUAUAGUUUGCAUAAUCAACAUACCACGGUGCACUACGUGAAGCAUUGAUGACAUUCAAUUGCUUAUCGGGAAAGCUAUCAUCAAUAGGUUGUGGGUCAUCAAGAACGUUCUCCAACCUAUACAAGUUAUCUGCUACGGGGUUAUCAGCACCCUUUCUGUCGACAACGUGCAAAUCAAACUCUUGUAGCAAGAGAACCUAUCUGAUAAGUCUAGGUUUAGCGUCCUUCUUCUCCAUGAGGUACUUAAUGGCAGCGUGAUCAGUGUGAAUAGUGACUUUGGAAUCAACUAUGUAAGACCUGAACUUUUCACAUGCAAACACGACUGCUAAAAACUCCUUCUCCGUAGUAGCAUAGUUUCUUUGGGCACAGUCUAGAGUUUUACUAGCAUAGUGAAUAACAUUCAACUUCUUGUCAACUCUUUGCCCUAGAAUAGCACCAACAACAUAAUCACUAGCAUCACACAUGAUCUCAAAAGGCAAGCUCCAAUCAGCUGGUUGAACAAUAGGUGCAGUUAUCAAAGCCCUCUUAAGUAUUUCGAAGGCUUCCUCACAAUCGUCGUCAAAGAUAAAAGGAAUAUCCUUUUGCAAGAGAUUGGUAAGAGGCCUAGAAAUCUUACAGAAGUCUUUAAUGAACCUUCUAUAGAAGCCAGCAUGACCAAGGAAACUUCUUAUACCUUUGAUAUAUGUGGGGUAUGGCAUUUUCUCGAUUGCAUCAACCUUAGCCUUAUCGACUUCAAUACCUCUUUCAGAAAUUUUAUGUCCUAAGACGAUGCCUUCAUUAACCAUAAAGUGGCACUUCUCCCAAUUCAAGACAAGAUUGGUGUCUUUACAUCUCUGCAAGACUGGAUCAAGGUUGCUGAGGCAAUCAUCAAAGGAAGACCCGUAAACGGAGAAGUCAUCCAUGAAAACCUCAACAAUCUUUUCACAAAAGUCAGAGAAUAUAGCCAUCAUACAUCUUUGAAAGGUGGCAGGUGCAUUACAUAAGCCAAAAGGCAUACGUCUAUAAGCAAAGGUACCGAAAGGGCAAGUGAAAGUGGUCUUCUCCUGAUCAGAUUGCGCAACUGGUAUUUUGGAGAAACCAUAAUAACCGUCUAGAAAGUAGAAGUGUGUGUGUUUAGACAGCCUUUAUAGCAUUUGGUCGAUAAAAGGUAAAGGGUAAUGAUCUUUCCUAGUGGCUUUAUUCAAUUUCCUAAAAUCGAUCACCAUCCUAUAGCCAGUAAUAAUCCUCUGUGGGAUUAAUUCAUGCUUAUCAUUAGGGACAACGGUAAUGCCUCCCUUCUUAGGGACGCAAUGCACCGGACUCACCCAAUCACUAUGAGCAACAGGAUAGAUGAUACCUACUUCCAGGAGCUUUAGUAUUUCUUUUCUCACUACUUCUUUCAUCUUAGGAUUUAAUCUCCUUUGAUGAUCAGCAACUGGUUUGAAAUGAGGAUCAAUUUUAAUCUUGUGCUAGCAUAGAAUAGGACUAAUGCCCUUAAGAUCAUCUAGAGUAUAUCCAAUAGCAGCAUGGUGCUUCCUCAGAUUUUUUAGUAACUUCUUUUCUUUAUGCUAUGAGAGGCUAGCACUAAUAAUAACAAGAUAUAUCUCUUUUUCAUCAAGAUAAGCAUACUUAAGAGUAUCACGCAACUGUUUAAGCUCGAACACAGGAUCAGCCUUUGGUGGGGGUGGAUACCCAAGCAGUUCAACAGGCAGAUUAUUCUUAAGGAUAGGAUAUUGUUCUAAGACAACUCUAUCUAUCUCAUCCCUUUCAUCCAUAUGCAUAUCAUUUUCAUGCUCAAGCAAGUAUUGCUCUAAGGGAUCAGUAGGAGGCACGGCAUUAGAAUCUAAGGCAAUAGUUUCAUCCUUACUAGGCAACUCCUUUUCAUGAGGUUGUCUACCAAACUUAGAGAAAUUGAACUCAUGUGACACACCUUCAAAGCCAACAGUGACAGUUUGCUUCUCACAAUCAAUAUGAGCAUUGACAGUAUUGAGGAAGGGUCUGCCAAAUAUGAUGGGACAAAAGCUAUCUCGUGCAGUAGCAAGAACGAGGAAAUCAGCAGGAUACUUCGUUUUACCACACAAGACUUCAACAUCCCUAACAAUUCCAACAGGGCAGAUAGUAUCUCUAUUGGCAAGCUGAAUAGUGACAUCAAUAGGUUCUAUCUCAACAGGUGCAAUCUCGUCUUUGAUUUCAUCAUAUAAGGAUUGAGGUAUUGGACUAACACUAGCACCCACGUCACAUAAGCCAUGAUAACAAUGAUCUGCUAUCUUAACAGAAACAACAGGCAUGCCAACAACAAGCCUAUGUUUGUCUCUAGCGUGAGGUUUAGCAAUUCUAGCAGCAUCUUCACAGAAGUGCAUAUUAUGUUCAUCAACAUCGUCGUACAGAAGAUCUUUGAUGAUAGCAAUACUAGGUUCAACUCUAAUUUGCUCAGGGGGUGUAGGUGUUCUAAUAUAGCCUCUACGUAUAACAGUUGAAGCUUUAGAAUGAUCCUUUAUCCUAACAGGGAAAGGUGGUUUCUCAAUGUAAGCACUGGGAACAAUAGGAUCAUUAUAGGCAAUGACUUUCUCUUCAACUGGAAUGGGUUUAACUACAUUAACUUCUAAAGGAGGAUGAUAUUUAAACCACUUCUCUUUGGGGAGAUCAAUAUGAGAAGCAAAGGAUUCACACAGUGAAUCUACUAUCGCAGAGUCAAGUCCAUACUUAGCGCUAAAGUCACAGAAAGUAUUUGUCUCAACAAAGUAUUUAACGCAAUCAAACGUGAAAUUCAUACCUGACUCCUUACCUUCUUCAAGCUCCCAAUCUUUAGAGUUGCGUUUAAUUCGCUCCAAUAAAUUACAUUUGAAGUCAAUAUCUCUCUUCAUAAAAGAACCGGUACAAGAAGUGUCAAGCAUGAUGCGAUCAUCAUGAGAAAGCCGAGCAUAGAAGUUCUGAAUGAUAAUUUCUCUCGAGAGCUCAUGAUUGGGGCAUGAAUAUAGCAUUGAUUUAAGCCUCCCCCAAGCUUGAGCGAUGCUUUCUCUGUCACGAGGCCAAAAAUUAUAAAUAUAAUUCCGAUCACGAUGUACUAAAUGCAUAGGAUAAAACUUUUGAUGAAAUUCCAAUUUCAACCGAUUGUAGCCCCAUGAUCCAAUAUCAUCACAUAGCCUAUACCAUGCCAACAUCUUAUCCUUCAAAGAUAAAGGAAAGACCUUCUUCUUGACCUCAUCCUCAGGCAAACCUGCAAGCUUAAAUAAACCACAAACUUCAUCUACAUAGAUUAGAUGCAAGUCUCGAUGUGCUGUUCCAUCUCCUGUAAAAGGAUUAGCCAGCAGUUUCUCAAGCAUACCCGAAGGAAAUCCAAAGCAAAUAUUUUCAGUAGGUGCAGCAGGUUGAGGAGCAACUAUUUGUGCUUCCGUUCGAGGUGAAGAUACCCCGAACAAGCCCCUCAAAGGAUUAGUAUCCAUAGUGACAAGUGACAAUAAAUUUCAGCACACUAUAUGAAUGUUUCCUUACCAAGUUCCACUUAGCAAAGGCGCUUCACUCCCCGGCAACGGCGCCAGAAAAGAGUCUUGAUGACCCACAAGUAUAGGGUAUCAAUCGUAGUCCUUUCGAUAAGUAAGAGUGUCGAACCCAACGAGGAGCAAAAGGAUCUGACAAGUGGUUUUCAGCAAGGAAAUAUCUCCAAGCACUGAAAUUAUCGGUACCAAGUGAUCGUGUGGUGAGAUGAUUCGUAGCAAGCAACAAGUAACAAAAGUAGCAACGGUGCAGCAAAGUGNUUUGAUAUGUGGGUGGACCAACGCUUGGGUACUGCCCUUACUUGGACAAGUAUCCCACUUAUGAUUAACCCCUCUCGCAAGCAUCCGCAACUAUGAAAGAAGAAUUAAGACAAAGUCUAACCAUAGCAUUAAACUAGUGGAUCCAAAUCAGCCCCUUACGAAGCAACGCAUAAACUAGGGUNNNNNNNNNNNNNNNNNNNNNNNNNNNNNNNNNNNNNNNNNNNNNNNNNNNNNNNNNNNNNNNNNNNNNNNNNNNNNNNNNNNNNNNNNNNNNNNNNNNNNNNNNNNNNNNNNNNNNNNNNNNNNNNNNNAGCUUCUGUCACUCUAGAAACCCAUCAUCUACUUACUACUUCCCAAUGCCUUCCUCUAGGCUCAAAUAAUGGUGAAGUGUUAUGUAGUCGGCGUUCACAUAACACCACUAGAGGAAAAACAACAUACAACACAUCAAAAUAUCGAACGAAUACCAAAUUCACAUGACUACUAUUAGCAUGAGUUAUCCCAUGUCCUCAGGAACAAAAGUAACUACUCACAAAGCAUAAUCAUAUUCAUGACCAGAGAGGUAAUGAGUAGCAUCAAGGAUCUGAACAUAAACUCUUCCACCAAAUAAUCCAACUAGCAUCAACUACAAAGAGUAAUCAACACUACUAGCAACCUUACAAGUACCAAUCGGAGUCGCGAGACGGAGAUUGGUUACAAGUGAUGAACUAGGGUUUGGAGAUGAGAUGGUGAUGAGUCCCCUCCGAUGAGAGGAGUGUUGGUGAUGACGAUGGCGAUGAUUUCCCCCUCCGGGAGGGAAGUUUUCCCGGCAGGAUCGUCCUGCCGGAGCUCUAGAUUGGUUCUACUCAAGUUCCGCCUCGUAGCGGCGGUGAAUACACGAAAAAGCUCCUCGCUGAUUUUUUUUCCCUGGACGAAUCCACGAAUCAAUGUGACUUAGUGUAAGUCACGGGAUCUUGUAUUACAGAACGAGUAAAGAGACUUACCGGUAAACCAGAUUGAAAUAGGUAUGCCGAUACUAACGAUCGAAUCUCGGGCAAGUAACAUACCGAAGGACAAAGGGAAUGACAUACGUGGUUAUAUGAAUGCUUGGCACUGAGGUUCAAUCGAUAAGAUCUUCGUAGAAUAUGUAGGAUCCAAUAUGGGCAUCCAGGUCCCGCUAUUGGAUAUUGACCAAGGAGUCCCUCGGGUCAUGUCUACAUAGUUCUCGAACCCGCGGGGUCUGCACUCUUAAGGUUCGACGUUGUUUUAUGCGUAUUUGUGUUAUAUGGUUGGUUACCGAAUGUUGUUCGGAGUCCCGAAUGAGAUCACGGACGUCACGAGGGUUUCCGGAAUGGUCCGGAGACAAAGAUUGAUAUAUAGGAUGACCUCAUUUGAUUACUGGAAAGUUUUCGGCAUUACCGGGAAUGUACCGGGAGUGACGAAUGGGUUCCGGAUGUUCACCGGGGGGCAGCCCACUCGGGGGAAGCCCAUGGACCUUAGGGGUGCCGCACCAGCCCUUAGUGGGCUGGCGGGACAGCCCAAGCGGCCCUAUGCGCAGGAGAAGAAAAAAAUCAAAGGAAAAAGAAAAAAAGGGAAGUGGGAAGGAAGGGAAGGACUCCACCUUCCAAUCCUAGUUGGACUAGGAUUGGAGGAGGAUUCCUCCCCCCCUUGCUUCGGCCGACCCCUUGGGGCUCUCUUGAGCCUCAAGGCAAGGCCCUCCCCCUCCCUCCUAUAUAUACUGAGGUAUUAGGGCUGAUUUGAGACAACUUUGCCACGGCAGCCCGAUCACAUACCUCAACGGUUUUUCCUCUAGAUCGUAUUUGUGCGAAGCUCGGGCGGAGCCCUGCUGAGAUAGAUCACCACCAACCUCCGGAGUGCCGUCACGCUGCUGGAGAACUCAUCUACCUCUCCGUCUCUCUUGCUGGAUCAAGAAGGCCAAGCUCAUCGUCGAGCUGUACGUGUGCUGAACGCGGAGGUGCCGUCCGUUCGGCACUAGAUCGGAGCGGAUCGUGGGACGGAUCGCGGGACGGUUCGUGGGACAGUUCGCGGGGCGGAUCGAGGGCCAUGAGGACGUUCCACUACAUCAACCGUGUUUCUUAGCGCUUCCUGCUGUGCGAUCUACAAGGGUACGUAGAUCCAAACCCCCUCUCAUAGAUGGACAUCACCAUGAUAGGUCUUCAUGCGCGUAGGAAAUUUUUUAUUUCCCAUGCGACGUUCCCCAACAGUGGUAUCAGAGCUUGGUUCAUGCGUAAAUGUUAUCUCGAGUAGAACACAAAAGUUUUUGUGGGCGGUGAUGUGCGAUUUGCUGCCCUCCUUAGUCUUUUCUUGAUUAUGCGGUAUUGUUGGAUCGAAGCGGCUCGGACCGACAUUACUCGUACGCUUACGAGAGACUGGUUUCGUCGCUACGAGCAACCCCGUUGCUCAAAGAUGACCGGCGAGUGUCGGUUUCUCCAACUUUAGUUGAAUCGGAUUUGACCAAGGAGGUCCUUGGAGAGAGGUUAAAUAGCAAUUCAUACAUCUCCGUUGUGGUGUUUGCGUAAGUAAGAUGCGAUCCUACUAGAUACCCAUGGCAACCGCGUAAAACAUGCAACAACAAUUAGAGGACGUCUGACUUGUUUUUGCAGGGUAUGCUUGUGAUGUGAUAUGGCCAACGACGUGAUGUGAUAUAUUGGAUGUAUGAGAUGAUCAUGUUGUAAUAGUUAAUAUCGACUUGCACGUCGAUGGUACGGCAACCGGCAGGAGCCAUAGGGUUGUCUUUAAACUAACGUUUGUGUUUGCAGAUGCGUUUACUAUAUUGCUAGGAAGUAGCUUUAGUAGUAAUGGCAUAAGUAGCACGACAACCCCGAUGGCGACACGUUGAUGGAGAUCAUGGUGUGGAGCUGGUGACAAGAAGAUUGUGUCGGUGCUUUGGUGAUGGAGAUCAAGAAGCACAUGAUGAUGGCCAUAUCAUGUCACUUAUGAAUUGCAUGUGAUGUUAAUCCUUUUAUGCACCUUAUUUUGCUUAGAACAACGGUAGCAUAAUGAGGUGAUCUCUCACUAAAAUUUCAAGACGAAAUUGUGUUCUCCCCGACUGUGCACCGUUGCUACAGUUCAUCGUUUCGAGACACCACGUGAUGAUCGGGUGUGAUAGACUCAACGUUCACAUACAACGGGUGCAAAACAGUUGCACACGCGGAACACUCGGGUUAAACUUGAGGAGCCUAGCAUGUGCAGACAUGGCCUUGGAACACAAGAGACCGAAAGGUCGAGCAUGAAUCAUAUAGUUGAUAUGAUUAGCAUAGAGAUGCUUACCACUGAAACUAUUCUCGACUCACGUGAUGAUCGGACUUGAGAUAGUGAAUUUGGAUCAUGUACCACUCAAAUGACUAGAGAGAUGUACUUUUUGAGUGGGAAUUCUUAAGUAAUAUGAUUAAUUGAACUAAUUAUCAUGAACAUAGUCUAAUGGUCUUUGCGAAUUAAGAUGUAGCUUGCGCUAUAGCUCUACUGUUUUUAUAUGUUCCUAGAGAAAAUUUAGUUGAAAGUUCAUAGUAUCAACUUUGCGGACUUAGUCCGUAAAACUGAGGAUUGUCCUCAUUGCUGCGUAGAAGGCUUAUGUCCUUAAUGCACCACUCGGUGUGUUGCACCUCAAGCGUCGUCUCUGGAUGUUGCGAACAUCUGACAUACACAUUUUUGAUGACUACGUGAUAGUUCAGUGCGCAAUACUUAAUGGCUUAGAAGCAAGGCGCCGAAGACAUUUUGAAAACGUUGCAGAACAUAAGAGAUGUUCAAGGAGAUGAAAUUGAGAUUUCAUGCUCAUGCCCUUGUUGAGAGAUAUAAGACCUCCGACAAGAUUCUUUGCCUACAAAGUAAAGGAGAAAAGCUCAAAAUCGUUGAGCAUGUUCUCAGAUUGUCUGAGUACAACGAUCGCUUGAAUCAAGUGGGAGUUAAUCUUCCAGAUAAGAUAGUGAUGGUUCUCCAAAGUCACUGCCACUAAGCUGCUAGAGCUUCGUGAUGAACUAUAACAUAUCAAGGAUAGAUACAAUGAUCCUUGAGCGAUUCGCGAUGUUUGACACUGCGAAAGUAGAAAUCAAUAAGGAGCAUCAAUAGUUGAUGGUUAGUAAAACCACUAAGUUUCAAGAAAGGCAAGGGCUAGAAGGGAUACUUCGUGAAACGGCAAAACAGUUGCUGCACUAAUGAAGAGACCCAAGAUUAAACCCAAACCCGAGACUAAGUGCUUUUGUUAUGAGGGGAACGGUCACUGAGGCAGAGCUACCCUAGAUGCUUGGUAGAUAAGAAGGCUGGCAAAGUCGACAGAAGUAUAUUUGAUAUACAUGAUGUUGAUGUGUACUUUACUAGUACUCCUAGUAGCGCGAGGGUAUUGGAUACCGGUUCGGUUACUAAGUGAUUAGUAACACGAAAUGAAAGCUACGGAAUAAACGGAGACUAGCUAAAAGCGAGGUGACGAUACGUGUUGGAAGUGUUUCCAAGGUUGAUAUGAUCAAAUGUCGCACGCUCCCUCUACCAUCGGGAUUUGUGUUAAACCUAAAUAAUUGUUAUUUGGUGCUUGCGUUAAGCAUGAACAUGAUUGGAUCAUGUUUAUUGCAAUACGAUUAUUCAUUUAAAAAGAAUAAUGGUUACUCUAUUUUCUUGAAUAAACACCUUCAAUGGUUUAUUAAAUCUCGAUCGUAGUGUUACACAUGUUCAUGAUAUUGGUGCCAAAAGAUACAAGGUAAUGAUGAUAGUACCACUUACUUGUGGCACUGCCGCUUGAGUCGUGUUGGUAUAAAUUGCAUGAAGAGGCUCUGUUCUGAUGGAUCUUUAUACUCACUUGAUUUUGAAUCACUUGUGACACGAAAAUCAUACCACAUGAGCAAGGCCUUGUUUUCAUUGAGAUGAGACAAGAUAGUAACUUGUUGGAAGUAAUACAUUUUGAUGUAUGAAGUCCAAUGGGUGUUGAGGCACACAGUGGAUAUCAUUAUGUUCUUACUUCAAUGACGAUUUGAGUAGAUACAUGAGUAUUUACUUAAUGAAUCACAAGUCUGAAAUAUUGAAAAAGUUCAAUUCUGUUUCAGAGUGAAGUUCGUCGUAACAAGAGGAUAAACUAUCUACGAUAUGAUCAUAGAGAUGAAUAUCUGAGUUGCGAGUUUUGGUACACAGUUAAGACAAUGUGGAAGUUGUUUUGCAGUUCAUGCCACCUGGAACACCAUAGUCAGAUGAUGUGUCCAAAUGUCAUAGCUAUGCCAUAUUUGAUAUGGUGCAUACUAUGAUGUCUCUUAUCGAAUUACCACUAUCGUUUAUGGGUUAUACAUUAGAGACAACCGCAUUCACUUUAAAUAGGGCACCGCGUAUUUCCGCUGAGAUGACACAGUAUAGACUAUGGUUUGGAGAAACCUAAGUUGUCGUUUCUUGAAAAUUUGGGGUUGCGAUGCUUAUGUGAAAAGGUUUUAGUCUGAUAAGCUCGAACCCAAAGCGGAUAAAUGCAUCUUCAUAGGAUAUCCAAAAUAAUUGGAUAUAUCUCCUAUCUCAAAUCCGGAAGCAAAGUGUUUGUUUCUAGAAACGGAUCCUUUCUCGAGGAAAGGUUUCUCUCGAGAGAAUUGAGUGGGAGAGUGGUGGAACUUGAUGAGGUUAUUGAACCGUCACUUCAACCAGUGUGUAGCAGGGCGCAGGAAGUUGUUCCUGUGGCGCCUACACCAAUUGAAGUGGAAGCUGAUGAUAGUGAUCAUUACAGCUUCGGAUCAAGUUACUACAAACCUCGUAGGUCGACAAAGGUCGCUUACUACUACAGAGUGGUACGGUAACCCUGUCUUGGAGGUCAUGUUGUUGAGCAACAAUGAACCUACGAGUUAUGGAGAAGCAAUGGUGGGCCCGGAUUCCGACAAAUGGCUGGAGGCCAUGAAAUCCGAGAGAGGAUCCAUGUAUAAAACAAAGUGUAGACUUUGGAAGAACUACUUGAUGGUAGUAAGACUAUUAAGAAAGGAUGGAUCUUUAAAAGGAAGACAAACGAUGAUGGUGAUAAGUCACUAUUAAGAAAAGCUCGACUUGUCACAAAGAUGUUUUCGACAAGAUCAAAGAGUUGACUAUGAUGUGACUUUCUCACUCGUAGCGAUGCUAAAAGUCUGUUGGAAUUAUGUUAGUAGUUGCUGCAUUAUUUAUGAAAUAUUGCACAUAUGAAGUCAAAACAUUGUUUCCUCGACGGUUUCCUCGAGGAAAGAUUGUAUGUGAUACAAUCAGAAUGUUUUGUCGAUCCUAAGGAUACUAACAAGUAUUCAAGCUCCAGCGAUCCUUCAAUGGACUGGUGCAAGCAUCCGGAGUUGGAAUAUACACUUUGAUGAGAUGAUCAAAGAUUUUGGGUUCAUAGAAGGUUUAUGAGAAACUUGUAUUUCCAAAGAAGUGAGUGGGAGCACUAUAGAUUUUAUGAUAAGUAUAUGUGGUUGACAUAUUGUUGAUCAGAAGUAAUGUAGAAUUUUUGUGAAGCAUAAAAGGUUGUUUGAAAGGAGUUUUUCAAAGGAAUACCUGGAUUGAGCUACUUGAACGUUGAGCAUCAAGAUCUAUGGAGAUAGGUCGAAACACUUAAUAGAAGUUUCAACAAGAUGCAUGCAUAGACAAGUUUUUGAAGGAGUUCAAAAUAGAUCAGCAAAGAAGGAGUUCUUGACUGUGUUGUAAGGUGUGAAUUUGAGUAAGACUCAAAACCUGACCAUGGCAGAAUAAAGAGAAUAUACGAAGGUCGUCUUCUAUGCCUUGGCAGUAGACUCUAAAGUAUGCCAUGCUGAGUACCGCACCUGAUGUGUGCCUUGCAGCAAGUCUGUUAAGAGGUACACGGAGUGAUCCAGGAUUGAAUCACUGAUCAGCGGUCAAAGUUAUCCUUAGUAACUAAAUGAACUAAGGAUUUUUUUUCUCGAUUAUGGAGGUGGUUAAAGAGUUCGUCGUAAAGGGCUACGUUGAUGCAAGCUUUGACACUAAUCUGAAUAACUAUGAGUAGUGAAACGGAUUCGUAUAGUAGAUAUUUGGAGUAUUUCCGAAUAGCACGUAGUAGCAGCAUCUAUAAGAUGGCAUAAAUAUUUGUAAAGCUCACUCGUAUCUGAAAGGGUUCAGAACCGUCGACUAAAACCUCUCUCACAAGCGAGACAUGGUCAAACCCCAGAACUGUAAGAGUGUUGGAUUCGUUAGAACCACAUAGGGAUGUGGACUAGAUUAUUGACUCUAGUGCAAGUGGGAGACUGUUGGAAAUAUGCCCUGGAGGCAAUAAUAAAUUAGUUAUUAUAUAUUUCUUUGUUCAUAAUAAUCGUUUAUUAUCCAUGCUAUAAUUGUGUUGAAUGAAGACUUAGAUACAUGUGUGGAUACAUAGACAAAACACUGUCCCUAGCAAGCCUCUAAAUUGGCUAGUCAGUUGAUCAAGGAUAGUCAAGGUCUUCUGACUAUGUACAAGGUGUUGUUGCUUGAUAACUGGAUCACAUCAUUGGGUGAAUCAUGUGAUGGACUAGACCCAAACUAAUGAACGUAGCAUGUUGAUCGUGUCAUUUUGUUGCUACUGUUUUCUGCGUGUCAAGUAUUUAUUCCUAUGACCAUGAGAUCAUAUAACUCACUGGCACCGGAGGAAUGCCUUAUGUGUAUCAAACGUAACAACGUAACUGGGUGACUAUAAAGAUGCUCUACAGGUAUCUCCGAAGGUGCCCGUUGAGUUAGUAUGGAUCAAGACUCGGAUUUGUCACUCCGUGUGACGGAGAGGUAUCUCGGGCCCACUCGGUAAUACAACAUCACACACAAGCCUUGCAAGCAAUGUGACUUAGUGUAAGUCACGGGAUCUUGUAUUACGGAACGAGUAAAGAGACUCACCGGUAAACGAGAUUGAAAUAGGUAUGCGGAUACUGACGAUCGAAUCUCGGGCAAGUAACAUACCGAAGGACAAAGGGAAUGACAUACGGGAUUAUAUGAAUGCCUGGCACUGAGGUUCAAUCGAUAAGAUCUUCGUAGAAUAUGUAGGAUCCAAUAUGGGCAUCCAGGUCCUGCUAUUGGAUAUUGACCAAGGAGUCCCUCGGGUCAUGUCUACAUAGUUCUCGAACCCGCACGGUCUGCACAUUUAAGGUUCGGCGUUGUUUUAUGCGUAUUUGAGUUAUAUGGAAUGUUGUUCGGAGUCUCGGAUGAGAUCACGGACGUCACGAGGGUUUCCGGAAUGGUCCGGAGAUGAAGAAUGAUAUAUAGGAUGACCUCAUUUGAUUACCGGAAAGUUUUCGGCAUUACCGAGAAUGUACCGGUAGUGACGAAUGGGAUCCGGAUGUUCACCGGGGGGCAGCCCGCCCGGGGGAAACUCAUAGGCCUUAGGGGUGCCGCACCAGCCCUUAGUGGGCUGGUGGUACAGCCCAAGAGGCCCUAUGCGCAGAGAAGAAAAAAUCAAAGGAAAAAGAAAAAAGGGGAAGUGGGAAGGAAGGGAAGGACUCCACCUUCCAAUCCUAGUUGGACUAGGAUUGGAGGAGGAUUCCUCCCCCCUUGCUUCGACCGACCCUUGGGGCUCUCUUGAGCCUCAAGGCAAGGCCCUCCCCCUCCCUCCUAUAUAUACUGAGGUAUUAGGGCUGAUUUGAGACAACUUUGCCACGGCAGCCCGACCACAUACCUCCACGGUUUUUCCUUUAGAUCGUAUUUUUGCGGAGCUCGGGCGGAACCCUGCUGAGAUAGAUCACCACCAACCUCCGGAGUGCCGUCACUCUGCCGGAGAACUCAUCUACCUCUCUGUCUCUCUUGCUGGAUCAAGAAGGCCAAGAUCAUCGUCGAGCUAUACGUGUGCUGAACGCGGAGAUGUCGUCCGUUCGACACUAGAUCGGAGCGGAUCGCGGGACGGUUCGUGGGACGAUUCGCGAGGCGGAUCGAGGGACGUGAGGACGUUCCACUACAUCAACCGCAUUUCUUAACGCUUCCUGUUGUGCGAUCUACAAGGGUACGUAGAUCCAAAUCCCCUCUCGUAGAUGGACAUCACCAUGAUAGGUCUUCGUGCGCGUAGGAAUUUUUUUGUUUCCCAUGCGACGUUCCCCAACACAAGUAAGGGCAAUACCCAAGCGUCGGUCCACCCACAUAUCAAACUAUCAAAGUAACAAACGGGAAUCAUAUGAACAUGAUGAAAACUAGCAUGACAGAAAUUCCCGUGUGUCCUCGGGAGCGUUUUUCCUCCUAUAAGACUUUGUCCAGGCUUGUCCCUUGCUACAAAAGGGAUUGGGCCACUUUGCUGCACCAUUGUUACUUUCGUUACUUGUUUCUUGCUACGAAUCAUCUCACCACACAACCACUUGUUACCGAUAAUUUCAGUUAGUGCAGACAUUACCUUGCUGAAAACCACUUGUCAUAUACUUCUGCUCCUCGUUGGGUUCGACACUCUUACUUAUCGAAAGGACUACGAUAGAUCCCCUAUACUUGUGGGUCAUCAGCCAGCGCCACAAAGAUGGGCUUACUUCCAAGGAACGGGUCGCUCUGCACAAUAUCAGAUCCUUUUGCGCGGGACUCCUCAAAAAAUUGGCGCCUCCCUUGCUCAAGGAAUUUGAAGGGCUACGUGGCGUCAAGGCAGGACAUGAUCCUUUCACCCCGAGGCGUGCAACUCACUCUAUCUCGUUGGGGGGCAAUCAGAAAUCGAAGGCUUCGGUGGCGACACAGUGCUGCUGAAAGCGCUGGGCUUCGACAGUAACAAUGUGGCUGUUUCUGAAGACGCACUUGGACAGCUACGUAUGGUCUUUGACUCACCCUUGCAGGAGCCGCAACUAAGAGCUAUCGCCACCAUUUUUGGGAAGGCUAUCCCCCGCAACAUCAUCGACGAUUUGGAGAGGAACGAUGACACUGUGGUGUAGUAUCCGGGCAGGGCGUUGACAGGAGAUGCACUUGAUUCCAUGUCGACUGUCAAUUUGGAGGUGGUGUGCUGGAACGUGAGGGGUCUUAAUAGCCCCAUCAAGAGGAAGGCGUUGAGAGAGUGAUACGCCUCCGCCGUAUCUACUUUUCCGAACUCUUUUGCCCUUGUUUUCGACUCUAAUUUGCAUGAUUUGAAUGGAACUAACCCGGACUAACGCUGUUUUCAGCAGAAUUGCCAUGGUGUUGUUUUUGUGCAGAAAUAAAGUUCUCGGAAUGACCUGAAAAUUUACGGAGAUUUUUAUGGAAUUAAUGAAAAAUAGCUGCGCAAAGAUCCACCGGAGGAGGUGAGCCAGUGGGCCACAAGCCCAGGAGGCGCGACCACCCCCCUAGCCGCGCCUACCAAGCUUGUGGGGCCCACGUUGCUCCAUCGCCUCCAAUCUCAGCUCUAUUUAGUCCGUCUCGCCCGAAAAAAAUCAAGGAGAAGAGUUCAUCGCAUUUUACGAUACGGAGGCGCCGCCACCUCCUGUUCUUCAUCUGGAGGGCAGAUCUUGAAUCCGUUCUGGGCUCCGGAGAGGGGAGAUCGUCGCCAUCGUCAUCAUCAACCUUCCUUCAUCUCCAAUUCCAUGAUGCUCUUCACCGUUCGUGAGUAAUCUCAUCGUAGGCUUGCUGGACGGUGAUGAGUUGGAUGAGAUCUAUCAUGUAAUCGAGUUAGUUUUGACGGGGAUUGAUCCCUAGUAUCCACUAUGUUCUGAGAUUUAUGUUGCUACUACUUUGCCAUGCUUAAUGCUUGUCACUAGGGCCUGAGUGCCAUGAUUUCAGAUCUGAACCUAUUAUGUUGUCGCCAAUAUAUGUAUGUUUUAGAUCCUAUCUUGCAAGUUGUAGUCACCUACUAUGUGUUAUGACCCGACACCCCCGGAGUGACAAUAGCCGAAACCACUCCCGGAGAUGACCAUGGUAUGAGGAGUUCAUGUAUUCACCAAGUGUUAAUGCGUUGGUCCGGUUCUUUAUUAAAAGGAGAACCUUAAUAUCCCGUAGUUUCCAUUAGGACCCCGCUGCCACGGGAGGGAUGGACAAUAGAUGUCAUGCAAGUUCUUUUCCCUAAGCACGUGUAACUACAUACGGAAUACAUGCCUACAUUAGAUUGACGAACGGGAGCUAGUUACUUAUCUCUCCGUGUUAUAGCUGUUACAUGAUGAAUAACAUCCGGCAUAAUCAUCCAUCACCGAUCCAAUGCCUACGAGUCUUUUACUACUGGUCCUUGCUAUGUUACUUUGCUGCUGCUACUGUUACUCUAUUGCUACUGCUGUUACUCUGCUGCUACUGGUUACUGUUGCUACUGCUGCUAUCAUACGACCUUGCUACUGAUACUUUGUUGCAGACACUAAAUCUUUCAGGUGUGGUUGAAUUGACAACUCAGCUGCUAAUACUUGAGAAUAUUCUUUCGCUUCCCCUUGAGUCGAAUCAAUAAAUUUGGGUUGAAUACUCUACCCUCGAAAACUGCUGCGAUCCCCAUAUACUUAUGGGUUAUCAGAGAGUUUGUGGACUCGAUCCGCAUGGUGAUAGUUUGUAUUCUAGAGUCUAAGCUUGAGGCGGUGGACAAAUAUGUAAUAUUGCCAUGCAUGGGGACAAACUAUGAUGGCUUUACUUACCUCCCGACGUAGGCUACUAGGGGAGGCAUAAUUCUGGCAUGGGACUCCUCUAGGGCGCGGAUCUCUAACUUUGUCAAUGACACUAACUUCAUCACCGGAUACGUCUCGCCCACGGAGGGCACUCCAUGGUGGAUAUCCGUGGUGUACAUGCAGCAGGAGGACGAGCAGAAAAUUAACUUCUUGCGAGAAUUAUCGGACCGUAGAUCGCUCUGCCCGGGGCCUUGGCUUGCUAUUGGAGACUUUAACCUAAUCCUACAUGCGGCUGACAAAAACAACCCGAUCUUGGACAGGAGAAUGAUGGGGACGUUCAAACGCUCCGUCGACGAUAAUGCCCUAAAAGAGUUGUUUCUACAUGGAAGGAAAUACAUGUGGUGCAAUGAGAGGGAGGUGCCCACGCUCACUAAAAUUGACCGUGCGUUUGUAUUUGUGGAUUGGGAGCUUGAUCACCCGGACUGUCUCUUACAAGCUCUCUCCACCGCAUCCUCUGACCACUGCCCGUUGCAUCUAGCUAUGGAGGAUCAUGUGCACAUCAAGAGGCGGUUCCGGUUUGAGAGGUUCUGGAUUAACAUGGACGGCUUCAUGGAUGUGGUCCGUGAGGCUUGGGUAUGCGAUGAUAGCAUCACUGACCCUUUCUUGCGGCUCGAUCGCUUGCUCAGGAACACUGCGAAAGAACUGGCGGCGUGGGGCCAAAAGAAAAUUGGGAACAUCAAACUACAGAUCGCAAUUGCGAAUAUACUCAUCCUCCGGUUCGAUUGCGCUCAUGAGACUCGGCUGCUUACUGACAGCGAGAGAUGGCUCAGGAGAACGCUCAAGCAGCUGGUGUUGGGUCUCGCAUCCCUAGUGAGGACUAUUGCUAGACAAAGAUCACACAUAUCCUGGCUGCGCAAGGGAGAUGCCAACACGAAGCUCUUUCAUCUCGUGGCUAAUGGGAGGAGGAUGAAGAACCACAUCUCGGCGAUCACAGUGGAUGGUCAGAUCAUCACUGAUCAGAGGGGGAAGGAGGAGGCCUUCCACCAGGCGUAUCAUGAACUACUUGGGAAGGACGUGGCACGCGAGUUCACCUUAAACCUUGAUGAGCUCGAUGUUGUGCAGGAUGAUCUUUCGGAUCAAGACUGCAUAUUUCAUGAAGAGGAAAUUUGGAAGGUUAUCAAAGAACUGCCCUCCGAUCGUGCGUCAGGGCCAGACGGAUUCAUUGUCAUAUUCUUUCAGAAGGCUUGGGAGAUCAUCAAAGCUGACCUUACUCACGCGCUGCAUAAACUGCUCAUUGGAAAUGGGAGAGGGUUUGGUAGACUAAACCAGGCAUUGAUCACCCUGAUCCCGAAAUCACCGGUGGCUUGCGCGGUGGCGGAUUUUGGACCGAUCAGUCUGAUUCACAGUUUGCCUAAGCUAGCCUCGAAGCUCCUGGCAACGCGCCUUAGGCCUCGCAUGGGGGAACUGGUGCACAUUAACCAAUCGGCUUUCAUCAAAGGGAGAAACCUACACGNNNNNNNNNNNNNNNNNNNNNNNNNNNNNNNNNNNNNNNNNNNNNNNNNNNNNNNNNNNNNNNNNNNNNNNNNNNNNNNNNNNNNNNNNNNNNNNNNNNNNNNNNNNNNNNNNNNNNNNNNNNNNNNNNUACACGACAAUUUCCUGCUGGUUAGACAGCUAGCGCGUGGCCUACAUCGGAGGAAGGCGAAAGGGGUCCUGCUCAAACUGGACAUAUCUAAAGCCUUCGAUUCUCUAUACUGUCCCUUCCUAUUCGAGGUGCUAAGGGCCAAGGGCUUCUCCGAGCGAUGGAUAUCAUGCAUUGCUACCUUACUGACGACGGCUAGUUCGAGAGUGGCGGUGAAUGGUUGUGCUGGUAGCAAAUUCAUCCAUGCGAAAAGGUCUCUCACAAGGGGAACCUAUAUCCCCCAUGUUGUUCGUGCUGGCUAUGGACGUACUCACUUUGAUCAUUAUUAAGGCACAUGAGAACUCUGCUAUUAGCGCCAUGAACGGUUGUAGCCCGAUGCAACGCCUGUCCUUAUAUGUGGAUGACGUGGUGCUUUCCAUCAAACCUACUCGGCCCAAUCUGCAACUCAUGACUGAGGUGUUUCACAUCUUUGGCGUGGCUUCGGGACUAAAGGUCAACUACAACAAAUCUUCGGCUAUCAUGAUCAGGUCGGAGGAUUCAGAUGCGGAGCUUGUCGAGCGUGCGUUACCAUGGAAAAUGGAACAAUUUCCUUGCAAAUACUUGGGGCUGCAGCUAAGCAUCUGACAGUUACGUCGCUCGGAAUGGCAACCGAUUGUAGACGUGACACUUCAUAUUGUGCCGGGUUGGCAGAGGGGAUUGGUGACUAGGCCGGGACGUCUGGUGCUUGUUAACCAGGUCAUGAGAGCUAGGGCCACGCACCACCUGAUGAUUGUUGAGGCGCCCAAAUGGGCUUUGGAGAAAGUGGACAAAGGCUGUCGGGCCUUCUUGUGGGCUCGCACAUAGGGCAUCCAUGGCGGCAAAUGCGCUGUGUCUUGGGAUCGUGUAUGUCGGCCAAAGAGGCUAGGAGGACUCGGCGUGAUCGACCUGUACAGGCACAGGAUUGCCCUCAGAUUGCGCUGGGAGUGGUUGCGGCGUACAGAUGGCUCUAGGCCUUGGCAAGGUCUUAAUCUGGUUCCUGAUAAGCAAGUGGCCCAUGCCUUUGGCAGCAUGGUUAAGUGGAGCUUAGGAUCACGAUCACAGAUUCUGUUCUGGAAAGACAGAUGGAUAAACGGUGCCACGAUCAAGGAAAUUGCACCAUUAGUGGUGGCUAGAGUGAGAACCCAAGUGGCCAACAAGAGAUCGGCAAGAGAUGCACUUCAAAUGCAUGCUUGGACAAAUGAUAUUGUUGGAGAUAUGUGCACCGAAAGCUUGUCUCAGUUCAUCGCGCUCUAGGAGAUUCUUAUCGAUGUGGAGACCGACCCGGGCAGCGAGGAUAAACCGAUCUGGGCCUGGAUUGUGGAUGGAACUUACACGUCAUCAUCGGCUUAUAGGAUGCUUUGCGAGGGGGGGGGGGGGGGGGGGUUCCCCNNNNNNNNNNNNNNNNNNNNNNNNNNNNNNNNNNNNNNNNNNNNNNNNNNNNNNNNNNNNNNNNNNNNNNNNNNNNNNNNNNNNNNNNNNNNNNNNNNNNNNNNNNNNNNNNNNNNGGGGGGGGGGGGGGGGUAGGAGAUUCCAGUCUUAUGCAGAUAUAUGGAAGAGUUGGGCACCCCUGGCUUGCCGGAUCUUCAUGUGGUUGGCAGUGCAAUACCGGCUGUGGACGUUGGAUAUGAGGGCACGACAUGGGUUACAAGACAAUACCUCCCCUUGCUACUUGUUUGAUCAAGAAAAGGAUACAGUCGACCAUAUCCUUAUUCAAUGUGUCUUCGCUAGGCAGUUAUGGUUCCUUUGCUUCUCUAGGAUGUGGCCGGUAUCGCACUUGUGCCCAACUCAGCAUGACACCUUGGUGGAGUGGUGGCAGGUGGUUCGAAAGCGUAUCACCCAGCGCACAUGCAAGGGCUUUGACACACUAGUUAUGCAUGUCAGCUGGAGCCUAUGAAAGCAAAGGAACGACAAAGUUUUCGAUAGGAGUGCUGUCCUAAACGAAAGGGGCACGGUGAAUCUCAUUUUCGAGGAUCUUACGAACUAGACUAUGGCAGGAGCUUCUCGAGUGAUCCGUAUGAUUGAGUAGUACAGUCUAGUUAACUCGGGAGUGGGGGCUGGGUUAGGAUCGACCUGUGAUGCCUAACUAGCGAUGUCGUAAUCUCUUAUACAUAACUUCUGACUUCUAGAAAGCUGAAAAGGUUGUUGUCACUAUUAUUAACAUAAAAUAUUUUCAUUUAUUAAAUGAAUGUAUUUUCUUUAGCGGAUACCUGAAUUAUUUUUGGAACCCUAUGUCGAGAAGGCCCGGAACGAGUCCCACGAAAUGAACACACUUCUCGUUCAGUCCGACAUCCUUUAAAUAGGAGGAUAGCCAAGCCGAGCCGCUCCUACGGAGUCCCACCUCGCCGCCGCCAAACCCUCGCCCUUCUUCCGCCGGAGCCCACCGAGCUCUCCCACUCCAGAAAUUCCCCGAGCGGGAGCUCGCCCCCUCCAACGCCGCGUCCUCCUCCAGCUCCACAGGUAGGCCCUAGGCCCCGGCACAAAUCUUGUGAUUCCACCCAUCUCCACCUCGCAUCCAUGUCUCGGCCGGAUUGGUUCUAGUUUGCUCCCUGUUCAUGUUGUGAUGUCUAGGGUUUGUCUCGCAGGGACUGGUCUUCGGGAGAUUCCCAUUUGUUCCCGCGACCCCGCGCGCAGCAACCCUAGGCGGGCUCGUCCGCCAUGUUUCCGCCGAAAGGUCCCAAUCCCUACGGGCAGCAACCGCCGUACGGCGGGCAGCAAUCUUACGGCGGCCAAAUCGUAUGUCUCUCUCAAAAAAAAAAGCGCUGAUCUGGUAUUUGCUUAGUUGUGUUAUGUCCAGAUUCGUGGCAGGUUCUCAUCUUUUAUGUGCGCAAAAACCUGCGCUCUUUUGCCCUACUUUUGUGUGCAGCCUGGUAGCAGUGGAUUUGGGGCCUCAGGUGCGGCAGGUGCCCGCGCCGGACAGGCUGCUGCUGGGCAGUAUGGAGGGCCUUACGCGUCGGUGUAUGGCACACAGCAGGUGGUUAACUAAUCGCAAUUCACCAACAUUUUUCAAAAUUGGUUUCAAUAUACAAUUUAUUGGCCUCCUAAUGCAGUUCAUGCUCACUACUGUUACUGUGUAAGUUGCUUUGUCAGUCGUUGUUAAUGUGGUGUAUGUAGAGGGGGAAUCUUUAUAGCAAAGGCAAAUAAUGAAGGUUAUUAGCUGCCAGUUUGAUGCCUUUGGAAUGCAAAUGGUAGUAGAACCGCGCAGCUUCAUGCUCUCAUAAAUCUGAUGUAUCCACAUGGACAUCUGAGAUAAAAGAAAGCACUAGGUUUGGCCAGUGCUGAAGAGGCUGGCCAGGAUUAUUAGUUCUAGCUCAAAUAAAAUUAUCUAAAAUGUUGCUGUGUGAAUCCAAGUAAAACUAAGGUGUCCUCCUGGACCUGAUUUUUUUUGUUUAUCCUUACCCUUAUCCACACGAAGAGCAACUAGUAUUAUAUUAUCCCGGAAGUGUGCCUAUUUUUUUUUUUUUUGGAUGUUUAAAAGGUCACUGAUUCUGUUAGUCCAGAAAACCUAGGAAUUGAUAAUGGCCCUGUGAGAUAAUUGUACAAAAUGAGAGCCAGAUCUCUACUCAUCCUGAAAGAUAAGUAGCAAUGAUGCAGCAUCUAGCUCAUAUGCCCCUUUUGAGUGACCCAUGCUAUCGCCCGUCAUAAUCUAUUGGUUCACACUAGAAUAUUGCUCUGAAAGAUGCCUCACCCAAUGUCCAAAACAUACUAGUUAUGUAUGUGUUAUGCAUCAUUCUAUAUCUUGAUAGUGAGGUUUAAGCUUCAGCUUAAAACUGCAAGAAUCUGGAGGAUUGCAAGUAAAGGUUGCUCUCAAGCCAUCUCCACCUUGCCCCUCCCCUGCAUAAGUCUGUCAGAUCAUGUCCAAACUGUUUAGUGGUGUUAAGACUUGUGAGGGUUUUUGCAAACUAGAUAUAUUUCUGAUUUUCCACCGCAGAUAGGAAUCAAUGGGCUGAUUCUGUAGCACUUAUUUACAGCUACAUAAGCCCAAGGUCAGCUUUUUGUUCUUGCUGUUUCAUUCUUUGUGCCGCAUAAUUACCAGGUAAUUUGAUGUCUGUUUCAUUUUGUAAGUUCUUCUUGUCUCCCAAAUAAGAAUAUGACAAAAUAUAAUAGAUCCCACCAAUUACCAUUUCAUUUACAUGAAUGCCCCUAUCAUACUGAUUAAUGGCAGGAUAGAGUAGAAUAUGGUUUGACCAAUUAUCAUUGUAUUUACGAUAAUGCACUACUAAAAUAACUGAGCUUGCACUAGGCAUGUCAUAUUCAAUAUUUCUGAAAAAAGCAAUGCUAGAGCAUUUCAGCAUCCAGAAUUUCACAAUAUGGGGGCCUCUUUUAGACGAGGAAUGCAUGUUCAUGUGAGUUGUCUAUGUUAACUGACUUGGUGUCCUGGCAGUACCUCGAAGCAGAAAACAGAGCAAGUGCUGGAAUAAUUUGCUGGCUAGUCCACUAAACUGUAGUUGGUAGUCAUGUAGUAUCGCACAUAGCUUAUCCGUGUAUCAAGGAAUCAAAUGAUCUGGAAAAAGAAUACAAAAACUCUUUUAGGUAAAUAAGCUUUUCCUGGGAUAAACUUAUCUUAUGUGGCAUUAAACUUAUAUAUACUUGCCUUCACAUAAUAUUUGUGCUUUUGUGCAUUUUGUCAGAUUUAACGUGUUAAGCCAUUUUGCCGGUAGUUCGUGAAGAGCGGAUACUAGGAAGAGAUUUCUGUUAACCAGUCGUGUCUUUUUCUUUUGUUAUUUCCGAGUUUGUAUUUUUUAGGCCUUGUCUCAAUGUUGAUCUCAACUCUUUGUUUCAGCUGUAUUUGUAUGUUGAUUACUUUCUUCCAUGGUCAGAUCUCACCUCCUUUUAGUUUCAAGUGUCACGACUGUUCCAUGAGUUCUGUGCAUGAUAUCUUGACUGAAUAUCUGAUUUUUUUUUUGCAGGUUGGGGGACUUGGUAGCAAAGGUCCGGAUUCUUCUAGUCUUCCUAGCCUGCCACCUCAUACAUCUUCACUAUCUCAGUCAUCCAAGUUCUCGUCUGGAUCUGCAGGGUCUAACUUGCCAAGACCAAAUGAUGACUAUAUGGCUGUGCGUGGAUAUGCACAGAAGCUAGACCAGUAUGGUACUGAUUACACAUCAGAGAGAAGAAUGUAUGGUGAACACUCAGCUAAUCUUGGCAGGAGGGAUGGCCUUACUGAUUUGGAUAGAAGAUAUCCUGAUCAUAUACCUGCAGCCCAUCAGGUAUAUAAUGUGUGCUCACUUUUUUUGGGGGUUUUCCCCUUAAUUUAGUUAAUUUAGCAAACAUAAUCUUAUGACCACAUUUUUUAUAUCUCAGAUUCAUGACCGUGUGGAGCAGGUAGCAUUCGUCUUUCCCUUACAAAACUAUGGUCUGCUCUCUGUUAUGGCCUAUAAUUAUGUCUAUUCUGUUAAUCUUUUCAGGGUUCAACAAUGCGCCACCAGCCACUUCUGAAAGCUCAGCUGCCGCCUGUGUCUGAUAUGAGGUACGUUAGCUCACAGCCAGGUCACUUAUAUUGUUCAGGUUUUCUAUCCACAUGGUAGACCAUAGUCACUCUCAGUUUAAAAAGUGCAUCAAAUGAACGACUAUGUGCAUGUUCCAAACAUCUCUGCUUAGGACUAAAUUUUGUUAGUUAUUUUAAUUAAUGUACCUCACCGGCCCUUUUGGAAAGCUAAAUUAGCGAUCCUUUGUGUGUUUAUCACUGCAAAAAAACAUAGCACAUGCACUGAGUAAAAUAUGCAUUUCUGGCAGACAAGCCGAUUACUUUGCAGGAAGGUCCGCUCCAAUCCAUCAAGAAUCUCAGGAAAUUAGUACAUAUGGAAGGGCUGAAGCUGACCAUCGCAACUUGUCCAUUCUUGGGAAUGUUCCAUAUGGAGGACAACAAACAUCUUCAUUGUUGGGAGGCGCCCCUAGGACAAACAUUGAUAGUCUUGGCUAUGGGCAAGGAUCAUCAAGCAGUGGUUAUGGGAUGGGUCUGCCCCCGGGGCGUGACUAUGCCUCGGGGAAAGGCCUUCUCCAUCCAUCUUCAGAUUCUGAUUACCGUGACAACAUCUUACCCCGUGCACGUCCAGGCAUCUCCAUGGUUGAUGAACGUGCAAUUGACCGGGUUGGUUAUCGUCGUGAGCUGGAUCUAAGAGAUGAGGAACGUCGAAGGGAUAUGCUACUUGAAAGGGAGAAGGAGCUUGAACGGGAGCGGGAACGGGAGCUGCGAGACCUUCGAGACCGUGAAAGAGAAAGAGACCGUGAAAGAGAAAGAGAACGUGAAAGGGAAAGGGACCGUGAAAGAAUAAGGGAACGUGAAAGAGAAAGGGAGCGGGAGCGUCAAAGGGAACAUGAAAGAGAACGUCUUCGCGAGCGCCGCGAGAAGGAGAGGGAGCGGAACAAGAAGCAUGUAGCUGAUUCAAGGCGUGAGCGCACUCCACCUAGAACCCCUGGUGAUCGACGACGUUCUUCUUCUGUUAAGUCUGAGAAGCCUUUGCGGCGCCUUUCACCUCGACGUGAUGCUGUGCAUAGGUGUCUCCAUGUUCUCUCUAGCUUUGUGGAUGCACUUCGUCUUUGGUGCAGCCUUUUAAACUAACACUUUCGUUUGUUGUCCUGAAGGCAUCGUUCGCCUAUUAAAGAAAUAAAGAGAGAAUAUUUGUGCAAGGUAAACAAACAGUUGUGUUCGUCACAGUGUUCUUGCGAAAAUCAAUUGAUAGUAUUAAUUCUUUACGUGCCUCCUUGAUGCACUCUGGUCUCCAGUUUCCUUUACUGCUGUCCUUGUAUCUCUGUGAACUUAUGCGUCCACUCUUGGAAGUAAUAUCUGAGAGAUUCUGGGUUCCACUUAUCCAUCUAUCUACACCAAUCCUUGUUUUUGCCUUCCUAGCCACUUUCUCUUUUCUGUUACCACUUAUCUGGAGAUUUCUGGUUCCUUACUCUUCCACUUUGGAUAAGUUGGAAGACUAUUUACACCUUAAGCAUAGAUUGCACCAGAGUGGGUAUGAUUGAGCAAUCACGGAGAUGUCUUCCAUCCUCCAUUUCUCUCUGUCUCCUUUAUGUGCAAAUAUCAUAUUCAGUAUGUUCAGUUAUGCAGCAGUUUUAGUCUGAUGCCCAGUACGAACUCGUUGCUAAUUGGGCUGUCUGCUGCAGGUUUUGCCAUUUCGUUUUGUGGAUGAUGAGAGAGACUGUUUAUCUUUGACAAAAAGAUAUCCUAGGCUAUCAGUUAUUCCAGAUUUUUCUAAGGUUUGACAUUCUAUUCAUGACUGUUGAAAAUCAAAACUCAACGUGAAAUCAUGGUACUGUAUGAGUUUUUUUUGCCUUACUUGUGAUUUACUUGUUCUGUAGAUUGUCUUGAAUUGGGCUAAAGAAAGCCUAAAUCUUUCGCUGCAUACACCAGUGAGGUAUGCUUGCACUGUUCUCUUUGUUUUCUUGCUAAAUGUUCUUGAGCUUCCUAUUAAUGACAUGUUUUAUACUGUGUUGCUGCCACUGCUGUAAAAUAGUCUGGAGCAUGCCAUCUGUGAAGAUGACGAUAAAGCUGAUGAAAGCGCACUGGUCUCUUCUGAGAACGCAUCAAGCACAAAGACCCCUGAAACCAUUUGGAAUGCAAAGGUUUUUAUGUUUAUAACGUCGUGUUCAUUUUGGAGUAUGAAUUAAAGCUGUAGUUGGUUUGAGUAGUAGCUCCCGAAAUAAGUAGCGAUAGUGUUUAUUUGAGUGAAUUGUGUCAUUGUGCAUGCUAUAGCAAUAUUUGUAGAAAGCAUGUGGUAUAAUUGUCGUGGGCAUUAAUACUCAUGUUCGUAGAAAAUUAUUGCUUGCAAGUAUAUGACGUGCAACCUGUGCUGCUGACCUGCAUUAUCCAAGGGUUUCAUGGUCUUCCUCUUGAUCAUGCUUGCCACUUGAGCAAUCUUUUGAGAAAUGCUAGUCCGAAUCUAGCUUUUUGUAGGACGAAUUUCCCUUGCAUGAAAAAUAUGCCUUCGUCAUUCCAUCGCAUUGUGACAUAGAGACGUCUCAGAAAAUAAAGUUGUGCUAGUACAAUUUUCUGUUGCAUAUUAAUAUAGUUAUUGCGAUGCUAUGAUUUAUAUGUCUCCAUGGUGGUCCAUCGUGUGCUCACCCCUAGCCUUUGCCUAGUCUUUUUUCUUUGAAACUGGAGGAAAGUUUUCGUGGCAUUUGUACUCAUCUGAUAUUGUAAAAAAUCACAAGAGUCUGUCUUGGGAUUGACGUUAGCUCGAGUUUUGUUUUUAGUGCUUUUAAGUAAUCCAAAGAAGAAAAAUCCACCUCACGUUUGGCCGGAUAUAGAGGCACUUAAGUUAUGCUGUUUGUACUACCUUACAAGGUAACUCCAACCAUCGUGAAGUAAUUUCCUUCUGUGCUUACAUAUAUGCCCAUGUGCAGGUACUUCUGAUGAGCGGUAUGAGCAAUGGUGCCUUUGCUGACAUAACGUCGAUGAGAAGUACUGAGGAACGAGUGGUGCACUUGAACAAUAUCUUAAAAUUUGCUGUAUUCAAGAAGGAUCGUUCACUUCUUGCUAUUGGAGGCCCUUGGAAUGCAGCACUUGAUGGUGGAGAUCCAUUGGUUGACUGUUCUUGCUUGAUUCGAACCGCUAUCAGGUAUGCCUUGAUCAAGUAAAUGCACCAUGGAUAACUUGCAACUCUAAUUGUAAAUGCCUUGAUCAAGUAACCUAUCUUGUUGGACAGAUAUGUGAAGGAACUGGUUCAAGUUGAUCUAUCUAAUUGUACUAGUUGGAAUCGUUUCCUUGAGGUACUUCUAAACCUAUCUCAGCAUCUUCUAGGAACUGUAUUUCUUGAAUAUAUUCUUCUUUGGAUGGAAAACAUCAUCCUUCCAUCAUAUACCUUUUAUUUAAUUGGUCAUAUCUGGAUUCUCCUCUGAAUCGUAGAAGCGCAAACACAUAUAUUCCUAUAUGCUUUGUUCCAAAACUCUAUAAUGCACAUUUUACAUUAUGAAUCUUUAACAAUCAGUUUGCUUCCUGUUAAUUUGUUUGACAUUUCUCUGUUAUUUGUGUUUUAAAAUCUUCCCUAUCCGAAAUGACAAUAUUCGAAAGGAUAUUUGUGCUAAUAAUCGUCAGAAUAUUAGACAUUAUGACUGGUAACUGGUCAGUUGCAAAUGCGAUAUCAAACCCUACUCGUAUGUGGUUUAUUGGCUCUUCCAUAGGAUAAUAUGAGAGCAUUUACUCCAGUAAUGAAGUCAUUCGCUUUUCAAGGCAUGCUAUUAUUGCUGAAGUCAUCAGCAUAAUGUAAUACACGUGUUAUGCUGUAGGUCCAUUACAACAGAGUAGGCAUUGAUGGACUCUUUAGUCACAAAGAAAUUACUGUACUUUUUGUGCCAAACCUGUCGGAAUGCGUACCAUCUUCGGAUAUAUGGAGGAACAACUGGAUUGCAUACCGAAAAUCAAAGAUAGAAAGGGAGCAGUUGAAUAUGAAGAAGGAAAAGGUAAGCUUGUGGUUACUAUUAUAACAUACUUUGUUUUCUUCUGAAACAUCACUAAUAGUUCUGACUUCCUGUUGCAUUUUAGAGCCCAAGUGAUCCAAAGGAACAGAAACAAGGUUUGAAAGAUCCUCACUUAUCAUUUCACUGCCUUUUCCUUGUCUAAUGAAUAAAAUAAUUGAUCCUUGUUUAUUUGUCAGCAGUUUUAGAGGAGCCAAGCGAGGCUAAAAGUAUGAAUGAUCAAUUGAAGGAGGGUGAUGGCGCUGUUAAGAUUGAGAAAAUUGAUGCUGAUAUGGAACUUAAGGAGGGUGAUGGUGCUGCCAAGAUUGAGAAAANNNNNNNNNNNNNNNNNNNNNNNNNNNNNNNNNNNNNNNNNNNNNNNNNNNNNNNNNNNNNNNNNNNNNNNNNNNNNNNNNNNNNNNNNNNNNNNNNNNNNNNNNNNNNNNNNNNNNNNNNNNNNNNNNNNNNNNNNNNNNNNNNNNNNNNNNNNNNNNNNNNNNNNNNNNNNNNNNNNNNNNNNNNNNNNNNNNNNNNNNNNUUGAUGCUGAUAUGGAAGAGCAGGUCAAAGAUAGAGAUGUCAAUCUUGCUGGUGAUGGUGGCAAGAAUCCUGACAAUGUUGGGGAGCAAGUUGAGAAGACAGUGAGGGUUGUUGAAGGAAACGCUUCUGGUGAUGCUACUGUUGACCAUGUCACCGAGGAUAAAAAGCCCAUGAAGAAGAAAAUAAUAAAAAAGGUUGUGAAAGUUGUUCGAAAAAAGCCAACUGCUGAAGCUCCAGUGGAUAAAUCGCCUCAGGUUGACAAGAAUGCCGUGGCAGAAACUGCGAGCAAAACCGUCGAAAAGCACAUUGAACAAAAAAGUGAAGAUCUUGGGGAAGAGAAGGCGGGAGCUGGCAUUGGUCAACAGCCUGAGGCUAAGAAAACUGGGAAGAAGAAGGUAAUUCGAAGGAUUGUUAAAAGAAAAGUUCCUGCUUCAGCGACUGAGCCAACAGCCCUUGCUGCACCUGCUGAAGCAAGUAAACAAGAUGUGGCUGUUCAGCCGGAGAAGUUUGAUGAAGUCCCCACCGAUGCUGGGAAUUCACAGACUAAACUGGAAGAAGGAUUGAAAACUCCUGCUNNNN
rnacentral:lncRNA from 1 species